GGACUCAUUAUAACAGUUGCCACUGUGGGGUCUAAACCCUUCUAGAGUGGACCGUGGGUAUUUGGAAUGUACUUUAUCCCCUCCCCUCUCCUUAUGACCUCAUCUCCUCUCCCUCCCCUCCCUGUAUGGAUGGAUACACAGAUGCUGGCUUAUGGAGGCUAGAAGUGUCUUCCUCUCUCACUCUUCACCUUAUUGGAUUGUUUAUGUUAUAAAGAAAAGACUUUAACUAUUACCUGGCCUGUUUGAUAAUAGAAAAUUGUUCACAGUUGCAAAAGUGGUUCUAUCUUUUUGGAGUGCCACAGCAACACUGGAAUUUCCUUUAAUACUGCCCAAGUGUUGCUUCAUUGAAUGAGAAGUUUCACUGGUUGUGGAGGGAGCUGUGGACCAGAUGGCAUGGCACUGUGUGUCUUUUUAUAAGCCUCACUCUUUUCUAAGGAUUCUAAACUUAGGAAGCGGCUUGUAAUGCAUUUCAGUAAGUUGCACACUUUUACCAAACUCUGAUUCAUUUUUCCUUGAGUGUAGGUAUCCAUUGUUCAGUCCUUGGGAGUUCUUGACUAAAAAAGCAAGUUUAUAUAAUGGUGAGGGGCUUCAACCCACCCCACACUGAGGAAGCACAUGUUUUUGGAUUUCUUUUGAACAAACAGUGGUAAAGAGUUUAUUUAUAAAUACCAUCUUGUCUUCUCUCUGAAUACGUGUUCAUAGCCAACGAUAAAAGAGAUUGUCAUUUAUUGAAGCCUGCUUAUGUAAAGUGUAGGACCACGAGACAAGUUCUUUAUUUAGUUCUUUCUAAAAGGACGAAUUUCAUUCAUCUUACACAGAUAUGUUCUUCUGAUUACACUCUCUGUCUUGGUCUAGAAUUUGAUUAUUAAUAAAAAGGAAGCGAUAGUGUGCCUCUGUAUUAGCAUGGCUAGGGAACUGUCUGGAAUUGCAGCGUGGUAAAGAAGGCCUGAAUUUGGCAGAUGGUGUUCUUCCUGUAUUUCUGUUGUAGUAUUUCAUAUGUCAUGCAUUGUCUCCUCCGUCUCAGGAAGCAAGCAUGCUCUUUGGGAGUAUUUCCCCCCCACAGCAAAACAGGGACAAAGCAGAGGCUUUUGCCGAUAGGAUCCUGGUAUCCCUGUGCAGCUGAUUUGUGAUUUCUGUAAGGCAGAGCAGAAGUAUCUACAGUCUGUCCAUUGCCGGUUGCUGUAGGAGGAAAGCAGCUGAUAUGGCGCUGUUACAUGAAAAGGAAUGAUAGUGGGGACUCAGUCUGUGCUACCUUCAUGCUGACAAGUUCAGUUUCUUUUCAUUCUAUAGUUUGAGCAUCCUUGAUCUGAAAAUCUAAGAUCUCAUCAUGUGGAGGACAAAGGAUAGCUUGCAGGAUUCAGUCUUUCCUUCCCUGUCUAAAUUCAGUAAAAUUACUAAAAAAUGUGCUACUAGGCUAUGAGUAUGAAAAACAAGUGAAUUUUAGUUUAGAUUUCAGCCUCAUCUCACAGAGACUUGUGUAUAUGCAUGUGUUACCAUAUGUAAAAGCUCUGCAUUCUAGAAUGUUUCUGGUGCAAGCUUUUCUGACAAGGAUACUCACCCUUACCUAGGCUCUAAGUUUGGUCUUUGGAGUUCUGAUGGCUCAUUUAGCAACCAGUCUUUAGCUCCCUUUGCCUAAGUAGCUACAGGCUGUCACUAUGACACCCGGUUUUCCUUUUCAUUUGGAGUGGAGGGAAACUUAAGUGGACCAAUAAGUGCUAAGAAUAAGAAGGACAUGUUACAGGAAAGUACCUCAUUAGGGUUGGGGGCAUGAUUCAGUCAGUAAAGCACUUACCGUGUAAGCCUCAAGAUCUAAGUUCUUUCCUCAGAAUUGAGCUAAACAUGCUGAGGCAUUAUUACAUGGGCAUGUAAUCCCAGCAUUGGAGAUACAAAGACGGGAGGAUCCAAAGACUCCUUAGCCAGCCAGCUAGCCUAAUUGAUGAGCGUCAGGCAAAUGAGAAUGGUACCAGGGACAUACUCCAGCCCUCAUUCUCUUGCUUAGUGAAUGAAUAUAUAUAUAUAUAUCCACUCCUAAGAUGUAAGCAUUUGUUAAAGAUGUUUAAAUUAUUCUAAUUUUUUGUAUUUUCUUUAAAAAAAAUUCAACAUCUUCAAUGCUAUUUUCCAGGAAAAGUAGCCAAAAUUCUAAAGGCUAUAUUAUUCCUGUCUUUGAUCAACUCAAUAAGAAAUUGCUACUUAAAAACAAAACAAAACAAAAACAAGGGAAUUUUCUUAGUUCACAGAAUGACCACACACUGAUUGCAUUGAGGAAUUUCCACCUGUGUAAUAAACAGAACCCACAGUCUGCUGUUUUGGUUUGCCUGUCAAAAAGUGAGGGGAGCCAAAGAUUUUGUAGGCUGUAGAAACCAACCACUGGAUGAGGAAGAAGAGGAAAACUUUUGAGGCGUGAGCUCACAGGAGGCCUGAGAAGCUGAAGGACUGUGCUUGGGAGAGAUGAACUUCAGCCCAUUUCAAUCUUUCAGCACUCACUCCUGAUUCGAAUUCCUGGGAAAAAGUGUUGGAUUGGCUGAGUCUGGAUUCUUUGCUAGUUCUUUAGACAGGGGAAGGAAGUCUGGUCAAUGUGAUUGACAGUCCCUGGGGGAAAUCUGGGUACUGCUAGUGGAAAAAGGAGAACAAUUCUGGCCCAGCUCACAAAUGUCUACUACAAAAGUGCACAGUCGAUUUAUAACAUGGAAUGACAUGUGAACUCUCUGUAGAUGCAAGUCCUCUGAGUUUACUUAGCAUUUACCCUAAAAUAAAAUUUCUUAUUCUGGACUUACUCUGAGUUACAGGGUGGGAAGGGACUUAAAGAGGCUACUGACUCAGUGACAGCUAUCUGCUCUCGGUUUGCUCUGCAGUGACUCCAUACCAGCAUCUGAGUCCUAGCAAGGAAAAGCCAAAGAAUCUGGCAGUCUUUACAUUUGUUAAGAUAUCUUCAUUUCUUCAUAGUCUAGGCCUGAAUUUUCUAGGCCUGAAUUUUCUCAUGUGUGGGAGUGGGACAAAUAAUAAGAUGGUUUCAAAGUUCAAAAGAUAAUACACGGGAAAUACCUUUACACUUUUUGGCAGUGUCAAGUAGAGGAAAGCAAUCCUUGGAGUGAUGGCUGUUGGGAUGGGAUGCCGAAAGGGGCACAGAGCACUCCUCACCUGGACACGUUCACAACAGGAGGGAAUUUGAGCAUGUGGCAUUUUCUAAAGCAGUCUUAAGAAAUUAAAGCAGGUGAUGAACUAGACAAUCUGAAGUCCCUUCUGAUAGUUCCCUUGUGCUGAUCCCUCUUUUAAAACAGACAGGAGAGGACUGAAGUGAGGAAAGAGUGCAACAAUAGACUGGCACUGGCUCUUCUCCCUUCUGUGUUCUUACUGAAUGAAGCACAGUUUAUGCACAGAAGAGCAUGUGGGUUCUCAGGAGUGAGUUUCGAGUGUCACUACUUUGAACAUGUCUGUACCUAAAGCUCUUACUUAGUCUGAGUCAACACAGCCAGUACCUUAGGCUCAUUACCUCUUAUUCUAGAUAAAUCUACCAACCUCAGGGGAUCACCUCCUUGAUGUUUAAGGACAUUUACUUUACCAGUGUUUCAGCCUGUAUAUGUGAAGGCACAUAUUGUAUGAACUUUGGUAUCUGUAUUUCACUUAAAUCAUAUUUGAGGGGUCCCACAGAAUUUUGCCUGAUGGUGAAAAUAUUUUUUUUUAAUCUGUUUUGUCAAAUGGUCACAUUUUUUUAACAUCUAGUUUUCUAGCUAUGUAGGCACUCUUGAAACUGGCUUUGGUAAACAUAAGAAUAAUACAUAGGGUUUACAAUGUUAAGUUAGAAAGUAUGUAUUUAGUCACUUCCAGUGCAUAUGUAUUACCAAAGAGUUUUCUAGAACAUGCUAACAUUUAUAUGACCUUUGUUUAUAAGAACUGUAGUCGUUCCACAUCAACAGCAGUUGAUAUGUCUUUUUUUUUGCUAAUCUGGGGCUAGUUGGUAUGCUUGCAUUUUUUCUUUGAUCAUAUUGAAUAAUUUUUCAUGUUCAUUUUAAAACAAAACCACAUAAACUUUUUACCCUGUCUCUAUUGGAUUACCUGAUUUAUCAUUGCUUUGUAGGAGCUUUUUAUAUAUUAAGGAUACAACUCUCUGCUUAGUAAAUGCAAUUGUGAAUAUCUUCUUUACUUGGUGAUUUACUUUUCAUUUUCUUACUGGUUCCUCCAAUAAAAGUUCUUAAUCUUAGUCUAGUUAGUCAUUUUUCUUCCUCUAAUUAGUCCUUUUAAAGUAAUCUUUGCUUACUUUAAAUUCAUAUAAAUAACCUGGACUUUUUCUUUUUUAUAGAUAUAUAUUUUUAUUGGAUAUUUCUUUAUUUACAUUUCAAAUGUUAUUCCCUUUCUUGGUUUCUUGUCCAUAAGCCCCCUAUUCCUCCCCCUCAUCCUCUUCUUCUAUAAGGGUAUUCCCCCUCCCCAACCAACCCCAUUUCUCCUCUUCCCGCCCUGAGAUCCCCUAACACUGGGGCGGGGGGGAGGUCAAGCCUUAGCAGGAUCAAGGGCUUCUCCUCCCAUUGGGCCUAACAAGGCCAUCUUCUGCUACAUAUGCAGUUGGAGGUUUUGGUAGUGGUUUAGUCUCUGGGAGCUCUCGUUGGUUAGUAUUGUUGUUCUUAGGGGGUUGCAAACCCUUUCAGCUUCUUUAAUCCUUUCUCUAACUCCUCCAGUAGGGGUCCCUUUCUUAGUUCAAUGGUUGUCUGUGAGCAUCCCCCUCUGUAUUUGUCAUGCUCUGGUUGAGCCUCUCAGGAGACAGCUAUAUCAGGCUCCUGUCAGCAUGCACUUCUUGGCUUCAUCAAUAUUGUCUAGUUUUGGUAUACACACACACACACACACACAUAUAUACACACACACACACACAUAUAUAUACACAUAUGUACAUAUAUACACACAUCAUACAUACAUAUAUAUACACACAUAUACAUACACAUACACAUAUACAUACACAUACACAUAUACAUAUACAUAGGCUGGAUCCCCAGGUGGGGCAGGCUCUGAAUGGCCAUUCCUUCAGUCUCUGCUCCAAACUUUGUCUCCAUAUUCCCUCCUAUGAAUAUUUUUGUUCCCCCUUUUAAGGAGGACUGAAGCAUCCACACUUUGGUCAUCCUUCUUCUUGGGUUUCAUGUGUUCUGUGGAUUGUAUCUUCAGUAAUUCGAGCUUUUGGGCUAGUAUCCACUUAUCAGUGAGUGCAUACCAUGUGUGUUUAUAGCUAAAAUAAACUUCUUCAUAUAUUGUAGAGUGCUGUGUGAAAUAAGGAGCCACAUUUUAAUAUUUCUACCUUGCAGUCUUACUGACCCAGCUGAUUUACCACAUACCAUCUGGGGCCGUGCAGGAUCGCCCUGGACACAUACGAUGGAUGUGGUUGGUUCCAGGCUGACUGUUGGGAGCCAUUUGUUUAUUUUGUGUCUCUUUCUGUCUGUCAGUACUAAACUACUGAUGACCAAGCUGUAUAAGGAGUUUUGAUAUUGGACAGGGUAAGUCCAAUAAGCUUUGGUUUUUCUCUUUGAGACUGGACAGAAGCUGUGUUGAUUCUCUUAUAUCUAAAGAGUUUUUGGUUUUGUUCUUUAUCUAGGAAAAAAUUGUCAUUUUGGUUAGGCUUCCUAGGCAGAACCCAAAUGUUUUUGUAGUUUACUCUGUAAAGCAGUGUCUUCCUUUUCCCAAGGCCUCUGCAUGUUUGCUGUUGAGCUUGUGUUUAUCUGUGGCCAAGUACAAAGCCUUUUAUUUUCCUAGAUUGAUAACAUGACAUUAAAAAAAAAAAACAACAACAGCAGUUACAUCAGUUCUGAAGGUUGAACUUGCUUUGUGCUUUCAUCAGUAUUUGUCUUUUUUAGCAUUUCAUUUAAAAAGAGUAGAAGCUAGUCUGAGUGCAGCGGGAAUCAAUUCCCUUUCCAGCAGUGUCUUUUGGGCUGACAUUUCCUCUGCAGCACAAAUUAGCUAAUGCGUUAGCAGAAUCCUUUCCUGUUUCCUGUCUCCAGUGUCUACAGCACUUGAAUUGAACAGGUUUGUCUGGAUUUUCGUUCUUCAUUGUGUGAUCUGUAGCUUUUGUAGAACUAGGCCAUUUUCUGUUGUGCAGUAUAAAAGCUUAGGUUAAGUAAGAAGGUAAUAAUGAAAGCUGUCUUGCCACUUGUUAACUGUAGUGUUUUAAUCUGGGUUUUAAAUGUUUUAUUUAUGUGUUACAACUUGUUUUUGUGAGUAUACAAAAGCAAAUAAACCUGUAUGUUGUUUAGUAUGGUUUGAUCUGGUUUUUGAUUUUUGAGAUAGGAUACCUUAGUUACUUUUCUAUUGGAGUGAUAAAACAUUAUGGCUAAAGCUCCUUAGAGAAGGAAUGGAUCUUUUGUUUGUUUGUCUGUUGGUUUGUUUUUGUAUUUUUGGCUUUUGAUUCUAGACAAGUGCGUGACUGUCACUGUCAUGACAGAGACUUGUCACAGCAGACAGAUGGACAUGAUGCUGGAGCAGCAGUGGAGAGCUCACAGCUCUAACUACAACCCGGAAGCAGACAGCAAACUCAAAAUGACAAGUCUUGAAAUUCUCAAAGCCCUCCCUGAACAGUGCCACCAACUGGGGACCACAUAUAAAAGUGGCAGAGCUUUGGCGGCACUCUCACUCUUGCCGCCACAGAAGCCUUAACCAGUGUGGUUCUCAUGCCUCACAGCCUCCUUAAUGCCAUCACAGGCAGCAGAAAAACUAGGUAGUUCUGUGCACACAUUCUUGUCUACCUGGCUCGUGUGUACACAGUUCAUGUGGGAAUAUAUGUGUGCACACAUUCUUGUCUAACUGGCUCAUGUGUAUACUGUUUAGUCACAUGAGAAUAAAUCUGAAGACAGAGCAGAAUUCAACCUGUGUUGCAUAUAAGCAAUGAGUGCCUGUAUAUGAUAUUUGUGUCCUAUCUACAUCGUGGCGCUUCUCUUAUCAACGUAUCCAUGUUUUCCACAUUCAUAGCACAAGUCAACUUGAGCUAAUCCAUUCUGUUUAAAAUAAUAUGACUGGGAACCCUCUUCUAAUCUCCACAGGCACUAGACAUACACAAAAAUAUGUAGGCAUAAAUAAAAUAUGUAGGCAUAUAUUUUUCUCAACCUACUUUAAUAAGGGUUCAACCUCCCCUCUAGCCUAUCACCCACCGGACAUAGUGGAAAAGAAAGGCUGUUAGGACACAGGGGAAGUGGACCUGUUAAGAAAUAGUUCUUUAGGAUGAUUCCAAUCUUCAUUGUUCUCAGUUCAGUCCACUAGCAAACACCACAGGUGAACCAGCAGCUGCCGUCAGGUCCACUCAGCAGAUACCACACAGGAACCAGCAAAGGCAGUUCAAUCCUGAAGAAACUGUGAGGCUUCUCAACUAGCCUAAGUCCUCUGAAGCAGCAAGACGUGGCAGGAACCUAAUGAGAAGCUCUUUGUCGAGUUUCUCUCUAUGAAGUCAGCAGGAAUGAUGCCCAGCAAUGUAAUGUAAGGUGAAGACUAGCAAGGACGAGCAAUGCAAAUCAGCGCUUGAGCUCCCACUGUCUAUGGGGUCAUAUUUAUAUUCCUUCUAAACAUCAUGUGUUUGGUAUAACAAAACUUCCUUUCACCUAUGUCUGCUUAAGCAAAACAUUCUUUCAUGUGACUGCUUUAACAAAAUAUCAUUUCACUUUUGUGCCCAGCAAAAUGUCAUUUGACAUAACUGAACUUCCAAAGAAACCAGAAGUUAUGAUUUUGAAAAUAAAUAGGAAGCUAAGUUUUAAAAAUUAGCAUGACCAGAAGAAUAGCAACACUGGAGGAUGGAGUUUGAGCUUUUCUUAUUUAAACCUAGCUCAGGAUUUAUUUAGCACAAAAUUUGACUGUGUUGAAUGAAUGAAAUGAAUGAAUCAAUGAAUGAAUGAACAUUUGUUGACCUGGAUAAGCAUUGAUGCACUACGGUGUGGGUAUACUGUUUAUGAAUACAGUUAACAGUCAAGCACAACUUCUUUUGAAACUGACUGUAAUUGAAUUGCCUUUUGAUAUUGAACAAAGUAAUCUUUGAAUUCAGUUUCCUUAUUGACAAAUAGUGGUUAUUAUAAUUCUACUUCCAGAAUAUUAUGAGAAUCUUGACCAUGAUAGAAUCUACUUGUGCCUUAUUUUCUGUUUCUCUUACUUCCAGAUUGUUCUCUUUCUUAUCUUCUUUAGCUGAGGCGUCCUCACCUUAGUUCAGCUCCAGGGAGAUGCUACCAACAUGGGGCCCAGGCCCUUGGGUAUGUGGGCAGCUGCAGCCUCAGGCCCACCACAGCACACUAUUCAAAAGCACAAUUCUCACACAGAGGACCUUGUCAGGAGUCAGGUCAUCCUUUAAGGUCAGUCAGCAGCUUUGAGAGAAAUAACUAAAAGCAGCAUUUUCUCAUGUGUUCAGAAUUUUCAAUAUUGUUCAUUAAGGAACUCACUGUUUCUUUUUUAAAAUGAGUCUGAUGGGUUUCUGUUGCUGAGCAGAUGGAAAGUACUUGGCAUACAGUAACUGAAUGGCUAAGUGAAAGAUCACCCCUCGUGACAGUGGGCAACAUGUUCAGCUUUGAACAAGCAUGUGUAUUGCAGGAUGAGAUUGACAGUGUUUCCCCAGUCACUUUCUUAUUUUGGAUGACCCCAUGGGAUUGUGGCUUCCCCUUCCUCUUUUUGGUAGGUAGAGGACAUGGUACAUUGUUGGCUACAACCUGCCAAGCUGUUAAUGCAUCUGUAAUUUAGAUAACCACUGUGCACUGAAGAUGAGCUCUGUGAACCAAGUAUUUGAUGAAUGAGUGGUCGAUUCUCAGACUGUGAAGAUGAUGUAUGGGGUGGACAAGAUCAUCCAGGUGGACAGUUGCUGUGACAUCAGCUAUUUCUCAAUUGAGCUACACUACCCCCACCUGGGCAUCUCUGGGUGCCAUGCAGUUGUGACCUACAAGAAAAACGUGGCUGAGCAGUACAUCCAGGUCCUCACGUGAUCACUGCUGUGUGGGUGGAGUUGCCUUCCACACCCUGCUCUACUGUUGUUAUCUGUGUCCAACUGGACUUCUCUGGUAGAAAGUUCAGCCAUGGAAGCCAGGAUGAGGGUGGCUUGCAUCAGUCAGCAAGCCUGGGGGUAAAGUGCAGGGCAGAAGCUUGGUUUCCAGGUGAAGGAGCCAGGAGUUGGUCAGAGUCAGAACAGCUGUAGCCAAGAGGCUGGGACUGGUGGGACAAAAGCCUCAUCUCAGGAGCGCAGCAGGAGCUGGUCAGCGAGGUCCACAGCAUCUGGGACACUCUUCUCCAGGCUGAGCCCAGAAUGUCUACAUUUCUAGACAGCAGUGGAUAAGGUUGACUGGUUAGGGUAGUAGUAGCUGUUAGAAAAAGCCUCAGUAGGAGAAGCCAAGACCCUGCUUGAGGUAGUACAAGAAGCAUGUUGUUCACUUCUCAUUGUGCUCUUUUUUUUAAAAAAAAUCUCAUAGAAGACCAGGCAUGCCUGUAUUUAGAACAAAAGCCUUUUCAGCUAUUAAGUGUCCCUUCUGACACCUGGAGUAUUUUUUUUUCCAGCUUGUUUGCCCUAUUUUAUGUCUUCCUAAUUCCUAACUUUUUUUAUUUUGUGUGUGUGUGUGUGUGUGUGUGUGUGAGAGAGAGAGAGAGAGAGAGAGAGAGAGAGAGAGAGAGAGAGUGAGAGUGUGAUUGUAUUCCUAUUUGCCUGCUUGUUUGUUUUAAGAACAUUAAUGACUAAAUGAAAACAUAGGAGGGAGUAUGGAAACAAAUAGCAUGUUGUUAAUAUCCUCAUGGUUUUUGUAGGUAUGCAUUCAUACGAAUAUGGACACCAGCAAGCAAACAUGCAGGAAAAAUAAUGUCACUUUAUGCCGGAGAAUGAUGGUUGCUUAGUUCCUUUUGUGCCUUCUCAUCUUAUUCUGCUUUUUUCCUUCUUUUUAAAAAUUUUUCUAACAAGGCCUCAUUAUAUAACCCUUGAACUUGAAAUCCUCUUGCUUUGUUGUUAGUGCUGGGAAUUUAGACCUUAUCACAUGGAGUAUGCUUUUUUUUUUCUCUAGGAAAAUAAAGAGGACUUGCUGUUCUUGCAAAGGACCUGGAUUCCAUCACCAGUACCUAUACAAUGGCUUAACUGUUUGUCACUCUAGUCCCAGGGAAUCUGGUGUCUUCCUCGAGUAUCAGGCACACAUGUGGUGUACACAUGUGCAUGUAGGCAAAAUGCUCAUACCCACACAGAGUGAUAAAAUAUGAAAUAAAAUCAUGUAGUCAUCACCAAUAUUGGUGGAUGCAGUAUAAACUUGUUCUUUGAACAGAUACAGUAAUUUUAUGCUUUUUAAAGUUGGCAAGAAGACAUUUGUGAAGUUGUUACCACUGCUCCCUGUGGUGAUUGAGCCAUUUUCUUUUACAGUCUUGUCUCACUUGUAUGAAUGGAGAGAGAUUUAGAGGAAUGGUGUUCCUCUGGUGAGAAACUGCCAUGCUGACAUGCAUUAACCUGGGUGCUAGGUUCCCCACUUCUUGCAAUGUGUACACCUCCUCUGUGGUAUAUGGUGUACACUUCCUCUGUGGUAUAUGGUGUACACCUUCUCUGUGGUAUAUGGUGUACACCUCCUCUGUGGUAUAUGGUGUACACCUCCUCUGUGGUAUAUGGUGUACACCUCCUCUGUGGUAUAUGGUGUACACCUCCUCUGUGGUAUAUGGUGUACACCUCCUCUGUGGUAUAUGGUGUACACCUCCUCUGUGGUAUAUGGUGUACACCUCCUCUGUGGUAUAUGGUGUAAUGGUUUUGAGUUAAACGGAUGGAUGAUGUGUUGAGCAUGUCAGAGACUGCUGGUUAUGAUGUAGUGAGGAGACCUAGGUAAGAGUUCUCUUAAGGGUAUUAGCCUCUUUAUGUGUUCUUGAUGGCAUUGGCCUAAAGUAUGGUCUGAGGAUCUGUUGAGCAUUGACUACCUGGCUUCCAAAGGUAAUGAUACAAGAGCCACUGUUCUAUGUACCCCAGACAGAUCCUCACCAAAGUUGAAUGUCCAGACAAUGUUGUCACAAGUUUUAGGAAUUUUGACUAUAGCUUGCUUUGGGCCAGGCAGUGGCAGCUUCCAAAUGGAGGUACUAUUUGACUCUGAAGGAUGUAGAGUAAGCACCCAGCAGGCACUUCUGUGUACUGUAUCUAUAGUCUCUGAAAAGUUUAUAGGGUUUGCACCCCGCCAUGGGGAAGGGUCUUCUUUUUAUUUGCAUAGCAGUCUCUUUUGAGCAAGCUGUAUCUACAAAUGAAGUUAACCUUUUCUAGUAGGCACAGAAGGCACUGUCCAGUUACCUGAGUGUAGGGUUGGGAACAUGAUUUUGAGGUCUAAGGGAGCAUGUCUGAAAUAUAACAUUAAAGUAAGCAUAAACCACACAGGUAGUUUUGCAAACUGUACAUUCGUAUUCAAGUAGAUGUGGGGUGGUCCUAGGAUGAGCCUGUGACUUUUUUCUUAAAAUUUUGGUUGUGAGCCUAGCCUUUAAUGGCUGAGCAAUCUCUCCAGCCCAGUGAGUUUCCUUUCUUGACAGGCUUCCAGGUGGUGGUGCUGUUGCUUGAGUCCCUGUGGGCAUAGAACACUGGCUCUGCCAUCAGGGGCAGUGUGAAAACACUAGGGACUAAUAUUAGAGAAAGCACCCCAUUGGGUGUCCAUCAGUAGGCUUUCAGCCAUGGGACAUUAAGCUAGUGACUUAAACUCGAAACAGUAGGCUCCCCUUCUGGAAAGUGGGAUGAUGAUGAUGAUGGCUCACUUUGUAGUUGAUAUGAGCAUUAAUGGGAAAAUAGAGCUACUCAUUUAUAGUGAUGUUAGUGCAUAGUAUGUGGAUGCUAAAUAGUUGUUAAACUCUUCUUAGAAGGUCGGGGUUAGGAGAGAGAAGCCUUUAAGGAAAGUCCAGAGGUUUUCAGAAAAAAAAAAAAAACAAAAAAAAAAAAACAAAAACGUUGAUUGCUUAAAGUACAGGAGAGUCUUUGACUUGAGGACUAGAUGUAGUCUCCAUUAUCUAUCAGCAACAACAGUGAUUUCUUGUGAGCAGCUGUCUGACCUCUGGUUGGACCCAGCAUGUAGCAUGUAGAUGAAAGAACCCUAAAGAGCCGGAGGAUGUAGAUGCUGCUGAAGUCCAGUACCCUGACACUCCCUAGUAGUCUGUGUAGCUUGUCACCUUGACAGCAGGGUAUUUUCAAGGAAGGAAGAACAGCUAGAUCAGUCAGGAAGGGGGAGGGGCUAAGACAACCUUUCAAGCACGUCUGGACCCAAUCUAGAUACAGGCUUUUAGCCUAAUUCACUCAAAAGUGCUACAUAGCUAGCAUUGUAAUUUUGCCCGUGAGAAAGAUCUCAGAUAUGUUCCCAUACGUUACUGAACAUGUAAGUUACAAAGGAUGAGCUGACAACUAGAGCUGAGUUUUAUAAUGCUUAGAGUGCAGCUCCUGUCUUGACUCCAGAAUGCCUUUGGCACCAGGAUACUCACUCGUGGUUUGCCUCUUCCUUUUCUUUAUCUUCCUUCCUGCCACUCUGGGUCAGUUAAUGGAGUGUUACCCCUGUUGGAUGUUCUGUGUUCUGACAGUUUCUUGUGAAUAGAUCUCGUGAUAUUUAUAAAAACCAACAUAUUUUUGUUUUGGAAAAAGAAGAAAUCUAACUUUGAUAAAAAUAAUUGGGUUUCUUAAUUGCACAUGGUAAAGUGUGUAUCUUGUAACUCAUACUGAAGAGUUUUUCUGCCACUAAGUUAUUCAGAGUAUGUUAUUUGUAGUUGACAUCAAGCCCAACAAUGACCCAAAACUGCAACAAUAGCUUAGGUGUUUUCCCUGGAUCCUCACCAGAUCUAUAUUAUUUUAACAGUUGUACUUUCCUAUGGAAAAUAAACAUUUUACUGUAGAAGUUAGAUCUGUUUCUACCUCCCAGCGCUGUGCACCCAGAAAUAAGACUCAGACUCAAGAUAUAUUUACAAAUACUUUGGCCAUUAAACUAGACUCUUCUCUGACUAGAUCAUAACUUAAAAUAACCCGUUUAUUCUAAUCUACACUUUGCCAUUUGCUGGUUAUUUGUGCCCAGAUUCCGUGCCUUGUUGAGUCUUUCUGGGGGAAUCUCCUGUCUGGCACUCUCUUAGAAUCCUUCCUGCCUCCUGGAUAUCCCCUCUUCUGUUCUGUCCAUUCCUACAGGCCAUAGGUUUUCUUGAUUGACAUCCAUAUAAUACGCAAAGUAUUCUCUCUAAUUUUACUUGAUAUGUCAUGUCAGAAUAAAUACUUUUCAUUUCCUUUUUUUCCUUCUUUUCCAUAAAUAUCUUUUAAUGUCAGGGCCUUUUAAAGAAUUGCUCUCAAUUUUGGACAGCAAAGUUGUUAUCACAAAAGUCAGUAGUAAGACUAUCAUUCUAGUGAAGAGAGUCUUGAUGUUAAUACUCACAGCGUUGAACAGUAUGUGUGAACCUUAGGCAUGCAUACCGAGAAUGAAGAAGCGGUCUAUUUUUCACUUGCGGUAUAUUUGGAAAUUUAUGAUGAUGGAAAGUAAAAAUCCACUGCCUCCCUAGAGAAUACUGCCUCAGGGCUAGAGGUCGAUCUGUCAGUUAUCCCUGGCUAUGCAGGCAUGAGGAUGAGUCCAGUCCCUAGGGCCAAUUUAAAAGCUUGAGCCAGGUGUAAUGGUGGUUGUAAUCCCAGGGAUUGGAAGGUACAGACAAUGGAUCUCUGGAGCUCAGUAGCCAAAGUUUAGCCUGCCUGGCAACCUUCAUGCCAAAGUAGGAGACUCUCAAAAAACAGGAUAGCUGACUCCAGAGUAACAUGUCUGGCUGCUCUGGGCUCUUUGUAAUCACAUUCCCACCAAGCAUACAGCUAUUUGUACACACAUAACUACAUCUACACUGUAAAUAAGUAAGUGACAAAUAAUGUCUUUUCACUAUUUCUAGUAGCCGAGGUUUAAACCCUGGGUCUGGAGCAAGUGACAGAGGGCAUCUGCAGCCAGACAGAUGUUCUCGAUGCUCACAUUUUGUUUAAAUGUGUACAGAAAUCUGUAGGACUUUCUGCUCCAGUCAUUGAAUGUGUAAUAUACUUAAUGCUAAGAGGCACAUUAUCGUCCCCACUUGCUAUUAGGAAAAGUUGAGAAAGCCUACAUUACACACUAUAGCCGUGCCGCCCUCCAUUCCCUGAUGUGUGUGUUGAAGUCCUGACUCCCUGGGUUGUUCUAUUAGGAAGUGGUGCCUUUGGGAAACCAUUACACCAUGAAGGUGGUGCAGUCCUUGUGAAUGGUAUCAGUGCCCUCGUAGAAUAGGCCCCAGGGCUAUUGUUCACCUUUUCCACCAUGUGAGACCGCAGUCUGGAGAAGUUGCGGUCUACAACCAGAGAGCAGGCCCACACCACAGUCUGCUGGCUCUUUGACUUUGCGCUUCAUAGGCUUAUAAGUUCCCAGUUAUGGGGCUUUAUUAUAGCAGCUGACUGACAGAAACUACACUGAAAUUGAAGAUUAGAUGCAUGGUUUAAGUCCAGAUUUCACAGCCAGCCAUGGCAGGUCAUGAGUCUGCCUGUUCUAAGGUUCUAGUGGAAGGAAGGGCAGUCUUCUUAUACAUUGGCUUCGUUUGGAGGAAGCCAGAGCAGUCCUGGUGGAGGAUGAGGCAAGAAAGACAAGUUCUGCUGUACUACACACACCAGUCCUGUGAUGGCGAGUGUUCUGCAUGGCUGUGGAGACAGGAGAGCUGUAAAGUACAGGCAGUACUCUGGGAGUUGAAAAAUAUGGGGGAGUGGUGGAUCCUGCAAGAUGGGACAGAUUUAUGGAGGGAGUUAAAGGCUGUAAAAGUGUAGUAUAGGAGAACCAGGAGAGCAACUUUAGAUUGUAUCCUCCAUGGCGGGCUGUAGUCCAUUCUUCCUUCCUUCCUUCCUUCCUUCCUUCCUUCCUUCCUUCCUUCCUUCCUUCCUCCCUCCCUCCCUCCCUCCCUUCACUCACUCACUCACUCACUCACUCACUCACUCACUCACUCUCUUUACAUCCCAAUAUCUCUGAGAAGGGCCAGCCCUCCCUCCUGUAUCAUCCCACCCUGGCACAUCAUGUCAUUGCAGGACUAGGGGUAUCUUCUCCCACUGUGGCCAGACAAGGUAGCCUAGUUAGUGGAAACAGGAUCCACAGAUAGGCAACAGGUUCAGGAACAGCCUCUGCUCCAGUUGUUUUGGGGACCCACGUGAAGACCAAACUACACCUCUGCUAUAUAUAUGCUAUGUGCUGGGUAGCCUGGGUCCAGUCCAUGCUCACUCUUUGGUUGGUGGUUCAGUCUGUGGGAGCCUUUAAGGCUCUAGGUUACUUGACUCUGUUGGUCUUCCUGUGGAGUCCUGAUUUUCUUCGGGUCCCUCAAUCCUUUCCUUAACUCUUUUCACAGGAUUCCUUGAGCUCCAUGUGAUGUUGUUGGGCUGUGGGUCUCUGUAUUUGUUUCCAUUGGCUGCUGGAUGGAAUCUCUCAGAGGACAGUUAUGCUAGGUUCCUGUCUGCAAGCAUAACAGAGUAUCAUUAAUAGUGUCAGAGACUGCUGCUUGCCCAUGACUCAAUUUGGGACAGUCAUUGGUUGGUCAUUCCCUCUGUCUUUGCUCCAUCUUUGGCCUUGCACAUCUUACAGGCAGGACACAUUUUGGUUGAAGGUUUUGUGGGUUGGAUGGUAUCCUUUUCUUUCACUGGGAGUCCUGCCUCGGGUGGGUGGGUUUCAUUCCAUGGGUCUACCUGAAGCCUUUGGUCAGGAGCAAGACAUGGUAGCAGGAAUAUCACAGAUGGUGAUGUGUGGAACUGGGAGGUGCACUGGGAGGCACCCCAGAAGUAGAAGCUGAAGUUCAAGGCCAGUCUCAGCCGUGGUUCAUGGUGAAUUUGAGGCAAAGAUGGUUUAAGGUAGAGAAAGGCAGUUUUCAAUAUGUAGCCCUCUCAUCACCCUUACCUGAGUAGUAUGUAGGGUCUGCCAAGAAAGAGAGGAGUGAGCAAUAAGGAUUGGAUAGUGGGAAGUGGAGGGAAAACUUAGUGGGAGACAGUGAGUGGGAGUUAAGAGACAGGGUAUGAAACCAAGAGAAGUCAAGUUGCUGAGUACGGUUGUGCUGCUAGGAUCUGGUCAGAGGUAGCUCUAAUUAGCUAUUUUCCAGGGUAGUCAGACCCCAUAUCCUCGUCCCCAUCUCCACAAUAACAGGAAACAGGUAUAACAUGCAUAAUUAAGAAUCCAGAUAGGCCUAACUCUCAUCCUAACAAAAUGCUUCUGCUGCAGUAAGUUAUCUUUCUGACUUGUAAUGUACUAUCAGAUCAUCUUGACCUUGAUGGUUGCACAUGCAAUUUAAUCUCAGGGUAGACCAGACUGUAAAUCACCACAGCCCACUAUCCAUGGGCUCUUCACAGACCCCAGGAUCACAGUCUGAUUUAGUAAAUAACUGUGCUUAGUCAAGAAACCCUGAUUCAGUGAAGCAGUAGCUCUGAGGGGUCUGUCAGCCUGGUGAAAGAGUGGACCCUGACGGAUCAGAACACAUCCUGCAGUGGGCAACAGGGCAGCACACAGCUGGAAUUCCUAACAGUCUACCCAUCAGAGUCUGCUCCAUGAAAAUGAGACAUUUGAGAGGGCAGCAGUUACCCUCUGUUCUUCCCCAAGCCAGCAACACUGUGUGCAGCUCUGUACAUGUAACCCAUGCUUUGUGUAUUUACUUAGUAAAUGUGGGGCAGAAGAGCUCACCAGAGUGCACAGGUGUCACCCAGCACCGGACCCUUUAGCUCCAGCCUGGUCGGCUCUGGCUCUCAACUUCUACCAGAGACCUACCAUGACCACUACCUCUUCAUUCUUUCAUGAAUUGCUUCUAUAGGAUCCUUUCUUUCUAAUUAUCCUUUUAUGAUUGUACAGGGUAAUGUGAUUCUUUAAAUAAUACCUCAUACAGAGAGUGAGGAGGGAAAGAUAGAGGGGGAGAGAGAGCACAAACCAGUAGUGCAUACAUAGUUUCAUUUAGCAUUGCUAUAAUAUUGGAAACUUGUAAAUUAGCCAGAUCAAUAAGAAAAAGUUCAAAUAUAAUAUAGGUACUCAGGAUUUUUGUGCUAUUGAAAUAAACAAUAAUGUGGGAUUUAUACUAAUGCAAUGUUUGAACAUUGUAGUAUUAUGCAGAACAUAACCUUUGUUUUAAAGACAUAAAAGGAAUCUAAGAUGUUUGCUCACUUGUAGUAUUAGUAGACAGAAAACUAUAGCAGACUUAACAGCAAACGUCAGCUUGCUUCUGAGAUGUGGAACUAACAACUUUUCUUUUGUGUAUCUAUUGUGGUUUGAGUGAGAAUGGCCCCAAAGACUCAUUUGUCUUGUUUUUAGUUAGAAUGUUCCAGUAGGAUUAGGAGGUGUGGUCUUGAAUGGAGGUGUGUCAUUUGGAGGUGGGCUUUGAGGUUUCAGAACUCCAUAGGAGGAUUGGUGUCUCUCUUUGCUGCCUGCAGGCAGGCGUAAAGCUUGCAGGUACUCCUGCAGCGCCAUGUGUGCUGCCAGGCUCCUUGGCAUGAGAAUAAUAGUGGGCCAGUCUCUGAAACUGUAAGCAAGCCAAUUAAGGGCUUUCAGAGUUGCCUUGGUCAUGGUGUCUCUUCACAGAGUAGAGCAGUGACUGAGACAGUGCCAUUUGUUUCAUGUGGUCUCUUUGUGCCGUUUACUUUAUUCUCUGUGCUGUUUGCUCACCUGUCCGUCCAUUCCAUCACUGCAUACCUAUGGUCCAAGCACUGUACUUCCGGAAUCAAGAACUCAGCUGCCCUUCAGUUGCUAAUCAGCAAUCCAGUUAAGUACAUGGUAAUUUAUAAUACAGUGUGGUGAGUGAUACCAGAGAAAAGUUGAACACGUCCAGGCAGGUGAUAGGAUGGAAGGGCAGAAACAAGAAGGCUCCCUAGAACUUGCUUUUGCUAAUGAUACUGUUUCCUGUUUGCAAAGUUCUGGACUGCUUGAAGUAUGGUCUCUGUCCCCCAGGAACAUGUAAGCCAUGUGAUAGGAAUGACAGCAAGUGGCCAUGCACUUACAUCAUGCCCUCUAUAUUGGUAUUAUACAGUGUGAAAUAAGGGCUACAGGUUGACAAGGCAGUUCGUAGCCUGGAUCAUUCUGUGAGAGAGCUGUAGGCUUCAAGAGUAACUGUGUCUUAUAAGGUUGCCACAGCUCAUAGAUGAAGGACGUGAUAAUUAACUCCCUCUCUUUACAUUCUUGGCCAUUUUUAUGGUGCGUUUUUUCUUUUAUCUUUUGCAUUGCUUUUUACCCCCAGAGAAAGUCUUUUAAACUGUUUGCUUUAGUAUUUUUAGCGAUAGUUGUUUCUAAAGUAAAAUAAUGGGUUUGAGUAAAUAAGCAGGCUUCUGGGGCAUGGGGCGGAGGAGGUCCUGUUGCCUCCAGUAGCACAGAGUGGGCCAGCAUAUGGGGCUUUUGCAGUGGCACAGAGUGGGCCAGCAUAUGGGGCUUUUGCAGUGGCACAGAGUGGGUCAGCAUAUGGGGCUUUUGCAGUGGCACAGAGUGGGCCAGCAUAUGGGGCUUUUGCAGCGGCACACAGUGGGUCCGCAUAUGGGGCUUUCGCAGUGGCACAGAGUGGGUCAGCAUAUGGGGCUUUUGCAGUGGCAGCUCAGGUUCCCAGAGGUCUCACUACACUCACUGUGCAGCAUCUCAGCUCCUCAGUACAGGCCAGAGUGUAAACAGGAAAGGCUCCCAGUGAGAAUCUCAGGGCCUUCUGUGCGCAUGGGCCUGUGCCUAGGCCAUCUCUAGGUUAGUCAACCCUGGAUGAAAGCCAGGCAUCUACUACGUAGUGGGAUGAGGGCAGAGUAGGCACUGUGUUCCAGGAACAAAUGUCCAGCCCAGGGUCCUGUUGCUGCCAUGAUUUUGGCAUUUGGAGAUCACAGUCUUAACAUUUGUAUCUGCAGUUGUGAUAGCCCCUUACAGUCACCUCUCCUCACCUUCCCACAACCUCCCCAAGACAUGCCCUGAUGCAGUGAGGUUUCACGUUGCUAAGGUUUCAUUAUUACAAAACAUGUGGUGGAGCUUCAUCGUAAAUAAUUAAAAUCUCUGACAAAGAAAAUGAGCUGAGCAUAUUCUGUGAUCCAGUAAACUGAUUUUCCCUGUCUCACAGUGCUCUGUUAUCUGCUAAUUCCCCAAACUCCAUAAUUAACAAUGGGCAGCUGUGUUCUGGAGAAAAUUAUCCAGGUUUGGCCUGGGUGCCUCUACCGUGAUGGGGUUCAAGGGGGUUGGCUGGGUUCCUAGCAGUGUCUCAAAGAGCACUUCAGUCACUUUCCCUUGUAAUUAAGUGUCAUUGUAAACAGAUGUGUUUAUUCCUUAGUAACUUAGAUGACUUCUGGAAGAUAGAGUCUAGCCACCCUGUCAUGCACUGAGUGUUUCACUUUUGAAGACAAGACAGUGAGGGAAGCAAAGGCUUACUCUGAGGGUGGACAGUAUCAGUCAUGCCCAGUGCCUUCUGAUGUUAGUGAACAUGGUGUGUGUAGACUGAGCUCAUUAUCUCAUUGAGCUGAUGGUUUGGAGUUAGAGAAGGACUGUUUUAGCUUAAAACCCAGAGCAGAUGCAUGUGUGUGCUUCCUCUGUUUGGGUCCUGAUUUGAAUAAAAACCAAGUUUAAAAAAAGAUAUUUUUUAGGUAAUUAGUGAAUUUGAAAAAUAAGCUAGGUAUUCUUAGUUUUGUUAGGCAUGAUGAUGGCAUUGUGGGUUGUAUAGGAAAUUACCCAUAAACUUAGAAGUGCACUUGAAGCUUUUAGGGUAAAGGCAGAUAAAUAGCAUUUUAGUCAAAAGAGAAAGUUAGAAGAGCAGAAGACCAGGGAAGGCAAAUAGAGUAGUCUGGUGAAAUAUGUUUUAGAAGAUAAAGACCAUCAUAUUUAUUCUUUUACGACCUCCCAUGAGCCCUCACUAUUUCCCCUCAGCAUUCAUGUCCUCUCCUUUUUUGGUUAGUAACCCACUGAGUCUGAUUAAUGCUGUCCAUUAGAGCGCUCAUGCCUGCCGGAAUUUACUGGGGUUUUGUUUGACCAUUCUCCAAACUUUAUGUGUGUUGAAGAUUUUGCAUAAUAAAUGGUUUGAAGCAACAAACUUCUCUAGAAAGAAAUUUUGUUAAGUAAUCUGCAAGUAUUCUAGCUGAGGGUCUUUGGCUAUAAAUUCCUGCUUUUUAAAGUGGGGAUAUUAGAUUAGCUCCAUAAAGUCCAUGCCCUUGCCAGAUGAUUUCAACACAUACAUUCUGAGCAGCAUACCUCCUGCUAUCCUUCACCACACACACACACUCAUGGAGGCUGUACUGCAGCUCUUAGUCCUCUUGCUCUUUGCUCAGUCCCCUUAACUCUUGUCAUUGGUGCUGGGGAAGAAGGGAAGGGGUUAUAAAGUCCUGUUCUUCAGGUGCUGUGCCUCCGACAGGCCUAGGAACGUGCUUCAGAACAUGUCUGUAUUGUGUGGCCAUUUUCCUGCUCAGCUCUGUAUGAACAGUAUGGUGUUACCUGACAGAGUGUUAGUCCUAGUCACCAGGAUUUAGAUGUCAGCCCCAUCACUGACUACUCUGUGCUUCAGCAAAUCUCCUUUAUUUUCUGCUUUACUUUUUCUGUUUUGUUAAAGGGGAAUGAUGAAACUAAAUUGCUAACUUACAGAGUGAGGAUUAAAUGAAAGAAUAUUCACAAAAGAGUUAUGGGUGCUUUUUGUACAGUCAUAAGUGUUUGUUGUUCUUCCUCCAGUUGAUUCUUAUUUUAUUUAAAAACAAAAACAAAACUCAGUGGGCUUGGGGCUUUAGCUUAGUGGUAUAGUGUAAUUCUAUAGCAUGGGCAGAGCCUUAGCUCUGAUUCCAAAUUAGAAAGAAAUCAGCACUGCACUCAGGUCUGACUGUCAUUCUUCUUAAUUUCAUUGUGUAAAUGAAUGUAUUGGGAAAAGAAUAGUAGCUGCUACUUAAUCCUCCUAUCUUCAUACAGACUUAGUUUAUCCCCAGUUACCCUGUAAGAUCACUGCUGGAAGUGCUGCUUCUUCCCAUUUGUGUGGUGUUUUGCUCCCUCCUUCCUCCCCCCUCCCGCCUCCCCCCUCUAGGCUCUUUAUGUAUAGCUCAAGCUGCCCUCAAGUUCAUGGCAAGCCUCCUGCCUCAGUCUGUACUGAGUGCUAUGAUUAUACCAUGAGUUGCCAUGGCUAUCUCUUACAUGUUUUUAAAUUGUUUAAGCUUUAGGAGGUGUGUGUGUGUGUGUGUGUGUGUGUGUGUGUGUGUGUGUGUGUGUGUGUGUAAAACACCCUUCUCUGUGUGGCAUUGUUAGUAUGAGGAAUGAUAUCAGAUUCUGGAAAGACUAAGAACUUAGAAACUAGACAAGCUAGACAAGCUUGGGUUGAAAAUUAGUGUUCAUUUGACAUCAUCUCUCUAAGCUCCUGUUUACCUAAACCUAGGCCUCCAUGCCACUUCUGAAGAGCAGUUGUGAAGUUCACGAUGUGAAAGAAACUCUGACACAGCCCUUGGUGUGUAUUUGAUGUGCCUAGCACAGUACCCUGAGGAGGGAGAAGGAGGGAAGCUUUUAGAUUUAUAUUUAAAUCUAAAUAUUUAGUAUUUUAGUUAAACCCAGAAGAGCAGAAGACCGAGGAAGGGAUAGAGCAGCCUGGUAAAACAUUCUUUAGAAGACAGACCAUCAUGUUUAUUCUCUUACAACCUCCCAUGUGUAGACAGUGCAUUUGCUCACUCACACCCUAGCUCCCCUCCCAGUUCCUCCAGGAAAUGCUAAGUUCCCCUUACUAUUUUCCCUAACUACUCAUAUCGUCUCCUGCCCCUGCCAGGAGAGCAGAUAACCCUGCUUGUUUCUGAGGUAGAACUGUGCAGUGGUCCUGCUUUCCUUGAAUUCGAAAAGAUAAGAACUCAUAUAUUGUCUGACGCUCGUACUUCAGGUACUUUUGGGACCUAAUUGUUUUUUAUUUUCUUAAUGUACUUUUCUGUGUCCUACCUGGAGCAAACUGAGAUCUCUAAGCCUUGUAGGUUUUUUUUUUUUUUUUUUUUUUUUGGUUUGUUUUGUUUUUACCAAGUGGGAUUUUACCCUCAAAUAAAUAGGAAUUAGACAGAACUGUAAAAAACAUUUCAAUGGUGUGUGUUUAAUCUACAACAUUGAAAAAUGCAAACAUUCUUUUUUUUUGUUUUUUGUUUAUUUCUAUAUUUUUUUUUUUAUUAACUUGAGUAUUUCUUAUAUACAUUUCAAGUGUUAUUCCCUUUCCCGGUAUCCGGGCAAACAUCCCCCUCCCCCCUCCCCUUCCUUAUGGGUGUUCCCCUCCCAACCCUCCCCCCAUUGCCGCCCUCCCCCCACCAGUCUAGUUCACUGGGGGUUCAGUCUUAGCAGGACCCAGGGCUUCCCCUUCCACUGGUGCUCUUACUAGGAUAUGCAUUGCUACCUAUGAGGUCAGAGUCCAGGGUCAGUCCAUGUAUAGUCUUUGGGUAGGGGCUUAGUCCCUGGAAGCUCUGGUUGCUUGGCAUUGUUGUACAUAUGGAGUCUCGAGCCCCUUCAAGCUCUUCCAGUUCUUUCUCUGAUUCCUUCAACGGGGGUCCUAUUCUCAGUUCAGUGGUUUGCUGCUGGCAUUCGCCUCUGUAUUUGCUGUAUUCUGGCUGUGUCUCUUAGGAGAGAUCUACAUCCGGCUCCUGUCGGUCUGCACUUCUUUGCUUCAUCCAUCUUGUCUAAUUGGGUGGCUAUAUAUGUAUGGGCCACAUGUGGGGCAGACUCUGAAUGGGUGUUCCUUCAGUCUCUGUUUUAAUCUUUGCCUCUCUCUUCCCUGCCAAGGGUAUUCUUGUUCCCCUUUUAGAGAAGGAGUGAAGCAUUCACAUUUUGAUCAUCCGUCUUGAGUUUCGUUUGUUCUAGGGAUCUAGGGUAAUUCAAGCAUUUGGGCUAAUAGCCACUUAUCAAUGAGUGCAUACCAUGUAUGUCUUUCUGUGAUUGGGUUAGCUCACUCAGGAUGAUGUUUUCCAGUUCCAACCAUUUGCCUACGAAUUUCAUAAAGUCGUUGUUUUUGAUAGCUGAGUAAUAUUCCAUUGUGUAGAUGUACCACAUUUUCUGUAUCCAUUCCUCUGUUGAAGGGCAUCUGGGUUCUUUCCAGCUUCUGGCUAUUAUAAAUAAGGCUAAAUGCAAACAUUCUAUACACUACUCCUUAGUUUUACUACUCCUGAAGAAGUGUAGUCCUUAACAAAAUAGAAUAAAACCUCCCUCCCUUCCCCAAUCCUUAUAAUUAACUGGUUUCUAAAAGGGAACAUUUAGGGCUUUUAAUCUCAGAGUCUGCACCUUGUGAGUGAAGCAUUACACUUAAAAUGACUAGCAUAUGUUUGAUUUCUCUUUAUCAGAAAAUGCCACAGAGUGUAACCCAGGUCAUGCUGGCAUUCAGAAAUGCUCUUCAGCUGCUCAUAACUCUUGUUCAAAAAAAUUUUACUAUUUUCACUGACACAGUUUUACAUCUCUGAAAUCUACUAUUGUAAGCUAGAAUAUCAUACUACUCUGAGUGUUUAGUGCUGACACUGUCAUUGACUUAGACAACACUGUCGUAAGUGUAAUAUAAGCCAGCACUGAGUCUCUGAGAAGCUACAGCCUUCUCCCUAUACAUUGUGCAUAGGCAGAGCUGUGGGCCUAUGUUAAUGUGUACCCAUGCCAUUCUGGAUAGUGGAGAUAAUAUGGUGAGGUGUGGAAGAAGGGCAGGUAAGAGGGUUACUGACCAUAGAGCUAGAAAGCCUGUCUAUGAAACUGGGGUGUGGACAGAGGCCUUGAAUGGGAAAGAUAACACUCUAGAGAGUGCAGUGAAUUUAAGAAUCCCCCAAAUGCCAAGCUAGCAAGAUGGCUCAGUGGGUAGAGGUACUUCCUGUGUAAGCCUAGCAACAUGAAUUCCAUCUCUGGAACCUAAAUAACUGUGGAAAGAGAAAAAUGGCUCUACAAAGUUGUUUUCUGUCCUUUAAACACAUACUGUAACUUACACACACACACUCUCUCUCUCUCUCUCUCUCUCUCUCUCUCUCUCUCUCUCUCUCUCUCUCUCUCUCUCUCACCACUACUUAUAAUGACAGUAACAAUAACUCCCAGUUGCUUAACAAUAAGCAACAAUAAGAUUUAGUACACAUUUCAAUAAUAAGAUAAUUUGCCCUCAAAAAACACAUUAGUUAGCAAAACUAGGAGAUUUCUGGGUUCAGAAUCUUAGCUUCUGAAAACAGGCAGGAUUUGGUGAAAUUUGUUCAGUGGAGCCUUAUUUCUAAUGGAGAUUUAUGCCCAGAGCACGUUUCAGAGCUCUUGUUUGGAAGUGUCUAUUCAUUAUGCAGAGUUUAAAUGUGCUUCAAAGUGGGUAGGGCAUGUGCUGAGCGCUGAAGGAAGGACAUUUGGAAAUGUUUUAUCUUCAGAGACUCAGCCUGACACAGCCCGGAGUGCUGUCACAGCUUCACCUCUGUGUCCAGUCAGGCAGCACAGAGGAUGGAAGAUGUCUGUCUGGCCCAUGAAGCUGAUGUGCUGAUAAAGGCACACAAGUGGCUUUCAUAAAUAUAGUCAUAGUCACAUCAAGAUAAGCAAUAUGCUGUAUCAUGGCAGUUUGCAAAAUAAACAAUGAAUUUUCUCCCAAGUGGGUAUGUUGGAUUUAAGAGAAUAAAUUGUUACAUUAUAAAAUUUAAAUCAGAAUAACCAUUUUCUAGUCUUCUGUGCCUCCCUCCCCAGCCUGUACUGGGUGGGAAAGAAUCCAACAUAUAUGGAAACUAACUUCACUAAGAAAAGGUAAGAGCUGAUUUUAGGAAGUGUUCCAGGAGAUGGGCAGAGCUGGUGACUGAGAGCAAGUGCAUGAGCGUGUGUGUGAGAGACCAACAAAAGGCUUGCAGCAGUCAUCAAGGUGGAGAAAGCUGACGCUGCACAUUAUUAUUCUCAUGCUGACUUAAAUCUAUAGUUUUCCCUCUGCAUAUUAUGUAUGUUAAGCUUUGAAACAAGGACAGAUAAAGAAACAGGUAGAAGUAACAGCAUUCUCCCUUACUUUUUUCAUGAAUUUAUAUUCUUAGUAAUUCUUAGCACAUAAAAUAAUGAGUUUAUUAUUACAUUUUUAUGAAUAUAUAUUUCCUCCUGCCUUUUUGCUGGUCCUUUUAUACUACUCACAGUUGCCAUUCUGCUAUGUGGUAUGUGUGUGUGCAUGUGUAUGUGUGUGCGUGCUUACUUACUACGUAUCCACUCCAUCAUCUGUUAAUGUGCUGCUCACGGAUUCUGUAGUGCAGCUACAGUGAAUGGUGCAGCAGUAAACAGGGAUGACGGGCAAGUGUCUGAUUGAGGACCUUCAUGGAUAUACCCAGAAGCAAUGUAACUUGCUCAUAUGGUGUUUCUAAUUUCAAACUUUUGAGAACCGUCCAUGCUGAUUUUCUGUAGUAGCUGAGCCAGUUUCUUGGUUCAGCAGUUGUAAGCCCCCCUUUCUUCAUGUCCUAUCCAGCAUUUGCUUGGUUUGAUAAAAGACACUCUGGUUGGUAUGAGAUGUAACCUCACUUUAAUUUGCAUUUCUUUGAUGGCUAAGGAUGUUGAAUUUUUUUGGAAAUGUUUAUUGACUUUUUCAUUUGAGAAAUCUGCUCAAUUUGUUCACCCGUUUAUUUAUUGGAUGAUUCCAUUUUCUGGUCUUUAAUUUUGGAGGCUUUUUAAAAUAAAUUCUAGAUAUUAAUUCCCUGUCAGAUGUGUAGCUGGCAAAACAUUUCUUCCAUUCUGCAGAGUAUCUCUUCAUUCUACUGUUAGUUUAGUUUUGUUUUGUUUUUAGCUAUGCAGAAGCCCUUUAAUUUAAUUCAACCCCAUUUGUUAAUUCCUGAACUGAUUUCCUGGGCUUUUAGAGUCUUUUUCAGAGUCUUCGUCUAUGUCUAUAUUCUGCAGCAUUUCCUCUUGUUCUCCUCUAGCAAUUUGGAGAGUUACAUUAGUGUCUUUGAUCGAUUUUGAUUUGACUUUUGUACAGCAUGACAGAUAUGGUCUGUUUUGUCCUGUUUUGUGGAUAUACAGUUUUCCUAGAACUAUUUGUUUAAGCUUUAUCAGUUUAUUCUUUGGCCCUCUGUUUUAUCCUAUGGAUUUACAGGUCUGCUUGCCUGCCAGUAGCAUGCUGGGUUUGCCCUGGAGCUCUGUAGCCUGUGUUGAGGUUAGGUAUUCUGAUGCGAGGCUCUUGCUGUUAAGGAUUGCUUUGGUUUGGGGGAGUCUUUUAUGCUGCUGUGUGAAUUUUAAUGUUAUUUUUUCUGCUUCUGUGAAGACUGUCAUGGGAAGUUUGGUACAGGUUAUGUUGACCGCAGCUUACUUAUAGUAGCAUAGCUAUUUUCACCAUAUAAAUUCUAUCAGCCUAUAAGCAUGCUCUAUCUUCUUGUGACUUCUUUAACUUCUUUCUCAUUUAAAAAAAUGUCGUUGCAGUAAUCUUUCAUAUUUUGGUAAGGUUUAUUCUUAGGUAUUUUAUUAUUUUCAAACUAGAGUGAAUAAAUUUUUAUUCUCCCCAUCAAGUUUCUUAUUGGUGUUUAGGAAGGGUGUUGAUUUUGCAUCCCGUUACUUUCCUGAAAGUGUUCAUCAAAUUAAGUAUUUUCUGGUGGCGUUAUUAGGAUUUUAGAAAAAAUAUUUAUUCGCUUGUCUUUCAUUGUGUAUAUUUUUGUACAUGGACAAAUAUAUACUACAUACAUGCUUGGUGCCUGUGGAAGCCAGAAGAGAGGAUUUCCGCUCUCCUAGAACUGAACUAGGGAUAGCUCUGAGUCUCUAUGUUGGAGUUGGGAAUGGAACCCUUGUCCUCUGUAAGAGCAGGAAGUGCUCUUAAUUGCUGAUGCUUUAACGUCGUGCUUUUCUAUUUCUAUGUGUUUAAUCUUUCUCACACUUUAUAGCUCUAGAGGACUUUAGACACUGUUUGACUGAGGUGGAGAAGGUAGGCAUGCUUGUCCUGUUUCUUAAAGGUUGUGUUUCCAUUUGUUUUACACGUAGUUCUUAGCGCAUGCUGGCUAUGGAUGUGAUGACGUUAGCCUCCUGUUAGCGUGCUCCUUCCAUUCUUAGUUAUCCAGCACUUUAUCAGGAAGCAUCGCUGAACUUUGUCAAAGGCCUUUUUUUGAUAAUGGUAUGGGGAUUUCUGUUAAGUCUGUUAUAUGCUGAAUUACAUUUAUUUACUUACGUAUCUUGUCCUAUGGUGUCCUUAUCUGGUUCUGGUAUAGAUUAAUUGAUGUUGACUCCAUAGGAUGUGUUUGGUUGAGUUUCUUUUGUGGAACAGUUUGAGGAAAACUUUUAACCACUCUCUUUUUUUUUUUUUUUUUUUUUUUGGUUCUUUUUUUUUUCCGGAGCUGGGGACCGAACCCAGGGCCUUGCGCUUCCUAGGUAAGCGCUCUACCACUGAGCUAAAUCCCCAGCCCCGUUAACCACUCUCUUUUAAAGUUCUUGUAGAAUUCUCCAGGAAUCUGGCUGGUUCUGGGCUUUCUUUGUUACUACUGCCACAGUCUCAUUGCAUACUGUGGAUCUGAGUAAGUUGUGCAUAUCCUCUUGAUUUUAGAUAUGGUGUGUUCUGUUUUCCUAGGUUUUGUUUAAUUUUCUUCUGGAGUUUUCAGCUUUUUGGAAUGUACGUUCCCUGCAGGUCCUGUGAAUUACAUCAGUAUCUAUUGAAAUGCCCUCCUUUCAUCUCUAAUUAUAUUUAUUUGGGUCUUCUCUUCUGGUUUGGUUAAGGAUUUAUUGAUCUUUAUUAUUUCAAAAGAAAUCGAUUCUUCAUUUUGUUGAUUUUUUUAUGAUGUUUUUCAAAUCUUUACUUUGUCAGCUGUUGGCCGGUUUUUUAAAAAAAAUAUUUAUUUCUCUACUGAUUUGGGGAUUGUUAUUGUUUUUCUUAGACAUUGAAUUAUAUCAUCAUUGGAAUCUGAUGGUUUUUUAAAUGUGUGGACUUUCAGCUAUGACCUUUUCUCUUUAAAAAUGCCUUUUCCCGUGUCUGAAAGUUUUCUGAUAAACUGUACUAUUAUUUUCAUUUGAUUCUAGGAAUUUUGUAAUGUUUUUUUAAAAUUGCAACUCUUGACCAAUUUUGAUCUGAAGUCUACUGUAACAUUUAUCUCAAAGCUCAGGACCAUGAUCCCUGGAAAAUUCUACAAAACUAAAUAUACUGAAUUAUCUUCAACUUCUUUUGCUGGUUAAUUUGGCUUCUAGCCUUUUGUUAUUAGCAUUAAUGUCUUCACCACUGAGAUGUGUUUUAGAGACAAUAGAUGGUUUAAAUUUUGUAUUUUAAUGAAACCACCACAUCUGCAUCUUUUAGUUAAAGUUAGACUCAUUUACAGUCAUGAGGAGAGGUUGCUAAUAGUACCUGCAGUUUUGUUGGUUGUUUUUCUGGUGAGUUUUCCUCUUCCCUUUUUUUUUUUUUAAAUAAUUCCCUAAUAUUAUUAGGUGUUUUCUGAUUUAUUUUCUUGGAUAUGGUAUAUUCAUUUGUGUUCUGCGUGAUCUCUUACUUAGUCUUUCUUCUUCCUCCAUAUGUAGGAUUUAAGUAUCUUCCACAGUGCUGCUGGUCAUGAUUUGCUUUGGUUUGUACCUGUCUCUAAGUGCGCCCAUCAAAUGUAAGCAGCCAGACACUGAAGUCUUGGUUGGUCAUUUUCAGAAUGGAAACAAAUCCUUGUGUGCUGUGUUGUCCUUAGGGUUUCUGUUAAGUGCUGGCUUGUUAUGUUGCUUUUGUACAGGAGCGAGUGCUUUUACUUUUACACCUUAAUACUGUUCCUUUGUUUGGUACUUCAGUGUUGUGAAAAGGUCUUCUCUAGACGUAUCUUCUGAAUUCAAAAUUACUUCUAUGCUUAGGUGUCAGUUUCUUUCCUAGAUUUCAUAAGUUUUCUGCUGUAGUUGCAUUGAAUAAAUUUAGUUUUGGGGUGUGUAUGUGUGUGUUUUAAUUUCAGAUAUUUUUUUGGAUUUGUUUCCUUUUAUUCCAUUUUCCAGAGUUCUUGAAUGUUGUGGUACUGCAUUAUUUUUUUCUUCACUGAUGCUUGAAUGCCCUGUCUGCUUGACCUCAUCUUCCAUCACUGACAACUGUGUUUCAGUUCGAUGCUUUCUGCUGUGGUUCAUUACUCACUGAGUUUAUAAUUCCCAACAUUUCUGUUUAAUUUUUUCUUGUUGUUGGGUUUUUGUUGUUUCAAAUCACAAUUUCCUUGCUGAACUAAUUGUAGAAUUAGGGGUUCACAGGGUAGAUUAGUGAAGCCAGAAGACUGUUAAAGAAACAAAGAGUAGAGAUAAAUUUUUUUUAAUUAUAGAAGAGUUGUUUAAAAAGAAGAGAAAAGCUUUCCCAAUAAUAAAAAGAUAAAGUAUAGGUAGAAUUAGGUAAAUGAAAGAAGAGUAACAAAAAUAAAAACUUAAAGCUUUCUUAAAAGGAACAUAAUAGUAUAGUCAAAAGAAAAAUAUAAAAACAAAUCAGAUAAAUAAAGUAAAUAAAACAAUUUUUAUUUUAAUAUAAUCCAGCUACCUACAUAUAUGUAUUGAUGGGAUCUUACUGAAUAGGUUUAAUCUGGGCUGGUCCACAAGCUCAGUGAUCCCUCUCUGCCCAUGCUUCUAAAGAGCUGAGAUCUAGGCAUGUGCCACCACUCUUCCUCCUCUUCCUCUUCUUCCUCAUCCUCUACCUACAGUAGCUCCUUCUCCUCUUCCUCCUUCUCUUCUAACUUAUAACAUUUAAGUACUUCUGAAUGAGUCUGUUAUAGGGUGUAUGUGUGCACGUGCACACGUGUGCCUGUUUCUGCAAUUUUCAUUUGGAUUUCAAUGUCUUGUGUUCUUCCCUUUUGGAAUAGUCUUUAUUAUCCUGAUGCUGUCCUUAACUACAUCACACCAAGGUAACAUCCAAUCCAUCUGUCAAGGCAUUCUCUUCUCAUCCUGCCAGUCUCUGGACAUCUGGAUGUACGAUCCCUACAGGAAGAUGUAGCUCUUGAAAAGGAAUUUCUGUCUUCUCUUCCCAGGGAAAGUUUUUACUAGGUCUCAAUCACAAGGCAAUGAAUUUUUAGUACAGUUAUUUCCAACUCCCCUAUUUCUUUGCCCUCUGUGGUUUCACAGUUAAAUGCAGUCAUUUUGUAAGAGGCUAGGUGAAAGCUGUCCUAGACCCCACUUAUUAAUUUGGGAGUGAGGGGAGGGUUUGAGGUAAAUCAAUGUGGGUUUCUCACUAAGAACCUCUUUUCUUAGAAAUUGGAUAGGAACUGUGGAGAAUUGUGUGAAUAGAGAACUCUGUUUAACUAGGUAGCCAAUGCAAAGAUGUGUACAAAUAGGCAGGUACAUUGGAAACAAGAUGAAGAUAUAUUAUUUUAGCAGAAAAAUUGUAAAGUGUAAGGCGAAGGACACUGUCAAUAGGACAAAACUGCAACCAACAGAUUGUGAAAAGAUCUUUACCAACCCGAUAUCCAAUAGAGUACUAACACCCAAAAUAUACAAAGAACUCAAGAAGUUAGAUUCCAGAGAACCAAAUAACCUUAUUAAAAAUGGGGUGCAGAGCUAAACAGAGAAUUCUCAACGGAGGAAUCUCUAAUGGCCGAGAAGCAUUUAAGGAAAUGUUCAACAUCCUUAGUCAUCAGGGAAAUGCAAAUCAAAAUGACCCUGAGAUUGCACCUCACCGCAGUCAGAAUGGCUUAGGUGAUAGAAGAUGCAGAUGCUGGCGAGGAUGUAGAGAAAGAGGACCACUCCUCCAUUGCUGGUGGGAUCGAAAGCUGGUACAACCAUUCUGAAAAUCAGUCUGAUGGUUCCUCAGAAAAUUGAAAAUAGUUCUACCUGAGGACCCAACUAUACCACUCCUGGACAUACACCCAAAAGAUGCUCCAACAUAUAACAAGGACACAUGCUCCACUAUGUUCAUAGCAACCUUAUUUAUAAUAGCCAGAAGCUGGAAUGAAUACAGAAAAUGUGGUACAUUUACACAAUGGACUACUACUCAGCUAUUAAAGACAAUGACUUCAUGAAAUUCACAGGCAAAUGGAUGGAACUUGGAAAUAUCAUCUUGAGUGAUGUAAUCCAGUCACAAAAGAACACACAUGGUAUGUAUUCACUGAUAAGUAGAUUUUAGCCAAAAAGAAGCUUGGAAUACCCACAAUACAACUCACAGACCAUAUGAAACCCAAGAGGAAAGAAGACAACACUAAAGUGUGGAUGCUACUACAGUCAUACUCAGAGGGGGAAGAAAGUAAUCUCUGGGAAGUAGAGGGAGAGGGACAUCUGGGAGGCAGAGAGGAAGGGGAGGGAAAAAGCGGGGAGGGAGGGAGUUCAGAUAUGGGAGGAGAUGGGGAGUACAGAGGGUCAGGAAUUUGAAAGGAGGUGUAUAGCAAUGGGAGAGGGGCAUCUGGGGGUAGCCACUAGAAAGUCCCAGCUGCCAGGGACCCAAGAGGUUCCCAGGACCCAACAGGGAGGACAUUAGUGGAAAUACCCAAGAAAGGAUAGAUAGAACCUGUAGAGACCAUAUCCAGUGGAUAGGUACAGUCCCCAGUUGAGGGUUGGGACCACCUAUCCACCACAAAAAUAUUAAUCCAGAAUUGCUCCUGCCAAAAGGAAAUGCAGGUACAAAGAGUGGAGCAGAAACUGAAGGAAAAGCUAUUCAGAGACUCCUCCACCUAGGGAUCCAUCCCAUCUACAGACAACAAACUCAGACACUGUUGUGGAUGCCAAGAAGUGUUUACUGACAAGAGCCUGGUAUAACUGUCCCCUGAGAGGCUCUGCUAGAGCCUCACCAAUACAGAUGCUGAUGUACACAGCCAAACAUCUGAGUAGUAGCUGAAGGGGUUUGCAACCUCAUAGGAAGAACAACAAUAUCGACGAACCAGACCCCCCCCCCACCCAAUCCUCCAGGGAGUAAACCACUGACCAAAGAGUACACAAGGGGGUACCCAUGGCUCUAGCUGGAUGGAUAUGUAGCAGAGGAUUGCCUUAUCUGGCGUCCAUGGGAGCCCCUAGGUCUGUUGCGGUAAGAUUAAAAAAGAGCAUGACCAGUUCCUGCACAUCACUGCUCCAUGCUGGGCGCCUGGUACUUGGACCUAGGCAGUUGCUCCCCAUGUUAGUGCUGGCACCCUAGGGCCAAUAGAACUAACCUUAAUUUAUCUCAGCGGCGGCUGGUUCCAGUGUGACACCAUGCCACAUUAGCCCAGCUAUCUUCUGGCCCCAGCGGUCUCCCCACUCCCAUUGCUAGUCAUCCUGGCCAGCCCUGGCUAGCCUGGAACUCUGGUCCCAGCUACCCGGUAAUAUCAAGACUCAACAAACUAACCCUGCAACCAGAUUUAUAUGUCAACUAAUCAAUAUACAAUAACUCCACACAAUUAAUUUACAGCCAGUUGAUAAGGAUAUAAACCACCUACCUAGAUAAGAUGAAUUUGCCUAUGGAAAUCAAUCCAUCCCUUAGGAAAUAUUCAUAACAACCUGUAUCUAUGUAGAGAUGCAUGGCGAGGAUCGUUUACGUCCGCCUCCAUGUUGCUUCUUUCCUUUCUGUUCCUCCCUCUCCUGCUAAAAUCUCUGUUCUCACCUCCCCUUUUUCUCGUUCAAUGACAGGCCUUGUUUUAUCUUGUGCCUGCCUUUACCUGCAUAAGGACAUCAACCUACAUUGGUCCUGUGGAGGCUUGAUGACCCAGGGUAGGGGAAUGCUAGGGCACUGAGGCAGGAGUGGGUUUGUAGGUAGGGGAGCAUCCUCAUAGAGUCAGGGGAGAGGGGAAGGGGAUAGGGGGAUUGUGGAGGGGCAACUGGGAAGGGGAUAACAUUUGAAAUGUAAAUGAAUAAAAUAUCUAAUAAAACCACCAAAAAGUAUAUCAUGAUUGAUAUGUGUUUUAUUUUAUACACAAAUUUAAAUUGACAAUUACAAUAAAGUAUACUAUAUAUAAACAAACACACAUCUGGAGGACUGGUUUUUUCUGUUCUAUGCAUGUAAAUAAGCAAAAGGAAUAACCAAUUAGACAAAUUUGCUUGUUUUGGUUUAAUGUGUAUGAUUUGCUGUGUUAAGAAUUUCUGCAUGUAAAAUUAGUAUAAAUUGACUUUCAAAGAACCAUUCUUCUGUAAAUAGAAAAUUACUCCAGUGAUCAAGGCAAUGGUCUUUAAAUGGGAUGAAAUGACAAUUUAUUAAAAUUUCUAGCCUAGGAAACAAGAUCUGGACAAAACAGUUUACUUACAGAGAGAUGGUAGCAUAUUUGGCUUAAAGAUAAGCAGUAAUUUCUGUUGACAGAGACACUAGCCAUGAUGGAUUUGUCAGAGACUUUGGCAGUAAAGAGUAAAACCCAUGUAUUUCAGUCUGUUGCCAAGGGCUGAACAGCAGCACACACAGAGAUGUGCAUGCAUCAUGUGAGCACUGGACCGAGCUUCUCCUGGAAAUCCCCAGGAUGUCCUCUUCACAAAGGUGAGCGCUAGCAGAAGCUCAGAGCUGAGGUAUCCUUAUUUGCAAGUUCAAGCAGGAUUGAGAAAUGGUUUUGAAGUAUUUUACUCAGCAGUUAUGUUUUGAGCAAGGAAAGGAAACACUUGGGUGUGUUUAAAUGCUUAUAUGUGGUUCUCCAGAAGGAAAAAAGCAUAAGGAAUGUAAGAAGACGGAGGAGCCCAGGUUUGGAAGGUAGACUGGUCCUCACUUUCCAGUGUGAUUCUAGACUUCACACUGGAGUUGGACUGUGUUCUGCCCUUCACCUAUUUUCUGCUCUGCAAGAGAAUCACCCUCAGUUAGCUGUCCUAGACUUGCAAGUCCUGCCUGGGGAUUGUGUGAGUAGAUGCUUGCUCUGCUGCUCACCUUCAGGACAGCAGCCCGUCUUCUCAUCAUCAUGGCAGACCCAUGCACUUCUUUCCCAGAGCUCACAUUCUUCCCUCACGUGUCUCAGUGCAGGACAGACUUAGCAAUGCUUACUCUAGAUUUACAAUACUGUUAUUUUUCUAAGGUAGGCAAGGACCCAAACACGGGAUAAUGUUAAGUAAGUUCUUGUUUUAAUUACAGAUUCAUUCUGUGCUAGAGGAUGAAGGGAUGUCACGAGAGAACACUUGAGUGUUCUUUCUCACUUUAGCAGUUAACCUUUCUUCCUUGAUGUCACUUCUUCCUCCCCUCAAGGUCACCCAGUAGUUGAGGAGAACUUUUCUUGCCAUACUUUUUGAUUGCUUUUUUUCUCUGAACAUACUGUUUUGAAGAUGCUCCCUGGCAAUUUUCUGAAAUCCCUGUAGAAGCUGGAAGAAUCUAGAAUUGGGGAGCUUUUUAAUCUUAGUGCCUCUUGAAACUCUUAAAAAUUGUUGUGACUGUGAGUACUUGUAUGGCCACGAGAGGCAUCCUGGUUCCUGGUUGAGCUAAGGCACCCCAGAAACCCUGAAGGGAUGGUAGGUGCUUUGCCUGAUUCCCCGGGUACCAAGCCCCUGUCACUAGCUGCAGCCCUCCAUAUAUUUGUGGCCAUCGGUCAUGUAAGGGCAACUCCACAGGUAGAGAAUGUGACUAUAGGUCACAUAGGCUCAAGACAGAUCUCCGUUCUAGUGAGGUACCUAAAGGCCUGGAGGCUUAGCCAAUAACCUUUCCAUCCCAGACACUCCUGCCUGCAAAAGGUAUUUAAUCUCAGGCCCACCCUGAGAAGUGGGGUAUGGUUUUACUCAUCCACUUUCUGCUAUGACAAUAAAUGCCUUAAAGCCAUGGACUGCCUCUUUUUAUUGGGAUUUUCUGUGGGGAGCCAUGGAGAAGGCCUUCGCCUACAGUACUGCUGUCUAAUCCCCCUUAAAAGACCUCUCUGCUCUCCCAGUCACUAUAGCCAUAACUGCAGCUAUCAAGCCAAAGCCUCUCCCCACAGGACCAGCUGGAUGCCCCUCCUUUCCGCUUUGCCCUGGGCUAGAUCCAGCCUGCAGGCCUCCAGUCCGUUCUCAGCUCUUCUGCAGCAUCUGGUGGUGCUUGGGUGUCCGAGAGCCUGAGAACCAGAUGGCCCUGGCCUCCUUGCAGGCCUGAGGACACCCCGUCCCCACAAGCCAGCUCCUGCUGUGCCCUGUGCCUCAGACUGUGCUUCCCCACCCUGGAGCAGUGUCCGUGGCUGCCCUACGCCCGACCCCCUCUUGGUGACAGCACGAGGUCAGCUCCCCAGCAGCUGUGCCUGGUGGCAGAGCAGACACAGGACCCCAUAGAAGUACUUGCUUUUGUUCAGAUGGAUCAUGUCUAUUGACACUUAUUAUAUUAGAAAGUAAAACUGACGUUACCAAAACAGUCAUAUACAAGUACCGUUCCGCAAGUCUUCAGAACCUUGGCAUCAUUACAUAUGAAGUCUGUAAAAAGCUCCUGCGUCACCAUAAUGCUGUAACAGCGGCACAGUACGUCUUGGUAUGAAAGGAAGCAGCAUACUCAUACCAUCCUGGAGGGCCUGCAGUCCCCAGGGAUACCCCAGCUCACCUCAACGUUACUAAUGGAGAGUAAUAGCUAGGAAAUAUGAGUAUUUCAUGAACAGUACUUUUGGUAAGUACUUUCAAAAGGAUGUGGCUAAAAUGAUAAAUCCUGGGCAAUAAUAAUGUGUAUGUUAUUUGUAUAUAUAGAUACAUAUACAUGACAUAUGUGUAUAUGUAAGGUAUAUUUAUAUAUGCUUAUCGAAGUAUAUUAUUAUGUAUUGUAUAUUUACAGGAAUUGUGUUAAAAUAAAUAAAAUAUAUAUAUUAUGUAAUAAGAUUAUAAAAAUAUAUUCAUGGUGACUUGUGAAUAUUUUGUACUAAUUUUCGUUGUAUAUUAUUGUUAUUAAGGAUAUAGAUAAUAGGAAUAAGAGGGUUUUCCUUCAUCUGGUAGGAUUUCAUGAUUAAUAUUCUCUGAUCUUUAGGUUUGACAUCUAGAAGCAGACUAGCCAUAUACUUCACCAAAAUGCUUCCCUCUGCCUCCCUUAAUUGGUGUUCCUUAUUAAUGUCCACAGGCAAUGUAGAUAUGAAGAACUUUUCCAUUUCUUUUGUGAAUAAAUUAGGCAGUUAAACAGUUUGAUGGCUUGUAUGAAGUCCAGUAGUCUAGAGCUGAGUCCUAAGACCUUUGAAAGUUGUAGAGUGAGUCAUGCGGUCAGUUUGUGGUCUUCUCAGAUCUCUGUGACCUUGCAUGGUCUGCUGCUGGGAUAGGAUUCUGAGUCCUGCACUAGUCAGGUAAACAGAGGUUUUGGAGUUUUCCCAAAACGAGUAAAGCCUCCCUCAGCUUUCCUAGCACCUGCUUCUAUCCCUGCAAUAUCUGAUUGCCCAAGCUUCAUCUCUAGGUGAAGUCCAGCUUUAAGCCCUUUUUGUAGUAUAUUUGUAUGUUGUAUGAAAUUCUUAAGCUGCAGACAGUAAUCAGAGUAGGAAUGUGAAUGUUUCACUAGUCAGUUUUGGGCUUUUUGUUUGUUUUCUUUUUAUUCACAGACCUCUUUGUUUUCAGCCAAUAGAACCCAGUUUUGAACAGAAUGUAAGAGCCUCUGGGGCAUUUUUCUGAGCCACAGUGAUUCAUGCUUCCACUUUCUGAAGGGAAUGGCUAGAAUGUGGAUCAGCUGGUUAAAUGCAUUCUGCCUUUCUCUGAAAAGCAUAGUCACUGUUAAAACAUUCCAACCUUUAUUAAAGUUAUGUAAAAAGUAUUCUUUGAAUCUUCUUCAGCUUUAUUUUACAAAUAAGAAAAUGGUGUUGCCGUUCAUUUUAAAUCUUGAAAAUAAUAUUUAGAUCGCUUUGAGAUAAAAUACCAAACUCUGUCAAAAAUAAACUUUAGAGGGUAUGAAUGUCAGCAUUUAUUGAAUUAAUUUAUUUUUACCGUCAGACUCAUUGGCUCUUUGUACUCACCGUAAAGGAUUUGCACCUGGACAGCACAGUAAACCAAAGCACUCUCAGGAGGACCAGGUGAAUAACUGAGGCAUUUUAUUUAUGAAAACAGCAUGUUAGGCACACCAGGACACAGUAUCAUAGCUUCCAGUUUAAGAUGUAGCUUUGUGAUUAUCAAUUUGUGAUCCUAUACCUAAGCACAUUGUUGGAGAAGAGAGUUCCCUAUUCCCUCCCAGAACAAGGAAAAAGUCAGAUGGCCAGCAUCUUCAUAUAGGGCUUACCAUAUGCUAAGUACUGAGCCAGCUAGUUUAUGCACAAAAAGUCCUAUUAUGAAACAGUACUAUAUCAAUUUUGUAAAUAAAGAAGGCAAGCCUCACAGAUCACUAAGUUUGUUCAAGAAUCUGUACUGGUAAGUGGUGGGGAGAGAUUCUAAUCAAAAUCUUCCUAUUUUAAAGCUUUCAUUCUGUUUGCCACUGAGAGCUUCCACAAUUUGAAAACUUAGUUGGGGAAAAAGAAGGAGUGGGGCACAGACUUGAGUGGGACAGCACCUCUCCUACAGCUGUUGUAAUUCUGAUUUGCAGCUGUACUUCUGGAUCAGAGGUUACUUGCAAGGUGUCAGGAAUGGAAGUGACAAAGCUUUUCCUUUUUAGAGCCUGAAAGUCAUUUGCCAGGUGCCUUUCUGGAUCAGAUAAGAAGGUUUGAUAGGAUGUGGGUAAGUUGGAUGGGCCCAGUAUUUGAAACUGCACUGAAGCAAUAGUUUUUAAAUUUAUCCUCUCAGGACUAGGCAGCCGAGCAUCCCACAGGAGCUUGUUAUAAAUUUUGUAUACCCACCCAGACUGUUGAAUAGAUCACUGGGAAUGCAUGUGCGCUGGAACCCACAUGCCUUUCAGGAGGUGAUCUGACAGAUGCAGGCGCAGUUGGAGAGCUUCUGUCUUAGGGAACGGGAACUCUUUCCUUAGUCUUGUGGCUAAGCAGAGGUAAAGAUCUUGGUAAUUAAAGCUAAAUCUUAAAACUCGAGGAUCUGAGCUCUCCGCUUUCGUCAUUAAUGAAUGUUUUUAUAAAUGGACAUCCGGAUUGUCCAUCUGCCUCUCCCGAAUGUGCUUUCCUUUAGUGUAAUGUCAGAGUACAGAUCCUUCAGAGGAUUCAAGUGUAAGACAGAAAAGUUUAUUGAAUUCCUUGAAUUUAGAAAAACUUCUUCCUAGAAAGAGCUGAUGUGAUUCUUUUUUCUCUAAGCAGCAUAGGGAACAAAUAUCAACUGUAAUCUUUUACCCUCAAAGAAACUAGAAACGAAGAUAGAGAACAGACUGCAGCAGUGUUAUGAGGCAGUGGGCAUUUCUGGCUUUAAUUCUGAGGGGUCUUCCUAGUCAUUCUUUAAGAACUGAAUUUCAGUACCAGUUACAGCUGAGCGGCUUUCCUCUUCAAAAGCAAUCUUCCUGAGCCAGAACCUCUGCUAGGGGUUUCCGACCUAUUUUUUAACUUCAGUGCCCUUGAAGUCAUGACUUUCCUAGCAUAUGAGAAUGGUCUGACAGAAAUUGCUGCUUGGGGUGAGGGGCAGAGAAAUCAGAAUCUCAACAACAGCUCAUUCUCCUUGGGAAAGGAUGUGAUUCUAGAGUAUCCUGCAUGGAUGGCUAUAGCUCUAGGCUAGAAUUGCGGCCUCAGGUUAGGGAGACAAUGUGGGGAACACUUUCUGCUGGCAGCUCUGCUCUUUGCAUCCAGGAAGAAAGCUUAAUGACUUACUCAAGGACAACACCAAUUGGUAUUUUCUCUCAUUCUAGUUCCCCACUUGAAGUAAAGCCACCUCCCCAGAGCUUCCUAAACACUCGUCCUUCUUCUUUCUCAGAAUAGCAGAAUAGAGAAGUUGGGCACAAUGGCCAGCUGACUGAGGAGAGUAGCUGGCACAGAGCAGCCCACAGGCAGCUAGCUCUAAGGCAGAUUGGAUGUGAAGAAGGCUUCACACCCCACAGGACUUGCCAGAACCAAGUGCUAGAGGAGUCACCUACACAAGUUAGCAGAAUGAAUGUCUAUUCUCCCAAUUACAGCCUAGAGAGUGUUUCUUAAGCUAUAGAGAUGCCAUCUGAUGAUGCUCUUUGGUUCCCUGACUCCACUGGCAGCCCACCUAGAGCAGCCACCUAUCCAAAAGUGGUGUCUGUAAACCAGUUCACAUCUGCUGAGAGCACAUUGUUAGGUUGGAGACCUUUGUACUCUUUGGUCAACACCAACAUGUUGAGGAAAAUCUAAGAACUCACAGCAUUCACAGAGAACUAGAAGAGAAUCUAAGAACUUCUGACAGUUUCAGAGAACUUCAUAAUUUUCAAAGAUUAUCAUUCAGGUACUGUUCAGCUUAUACUUUGAACCUGUGAUCUUUGAGCCUAAGUGUAACCUUAUUGCUCAGAACCAUGAUGUCUGUUUAUUUUGCCGAUCACUUCCGUAGCUAUUUUGAUGUAAUCAUUUUGUAGGGGGGCAGGUGGAAAACAAGCUGGGCAGGUUGGGGUAAGAGUUAAUGGAGGAAGCAAAGUUAGUAUUUUAGCAAACUGUUCUUUUUGUGGUCCAUAAGUUAUCCAGUGACUCCAUGUAGAAACAGAAAUAUUAAAACCCAAAUCCCAACUGGGAGUGGUGUAGUAGUUCUAGCUACUCAGAAGGCUACAUCAGGAGAAUUACCUGAGUUCAGGGAGUUUGGGACAGGAUAUUUAUUCCAAGAUCCACCUCUUGAAAAAAAGCCUGUGUGCAAGAAUCUGAGAGGCAGUCAGUCUUCUGCUGCCUACAAAGCACUCUGCCCAACCCUUUGUUUCUUUGUAUCAGGCAGUGAGGGUGCCCAGGAAAUGAAUGCCUGCGUCUUUGGAGUGUGGCUGAAAUUUACCCUGAGACUCCUGAUCAUACCAUGAUGUUUCUGGACCAGCGGCAGAGGCUGGUCUAGCUAGGGGUCUAAUCAUGGCAAUAAUAGGUUUAAGACUAUGUGAUUUAUAGUAGGAGAUAAAUGGGGAUAGUAACAGAAUUCUGAUAGGAAAGAUGUCUCCAUCCUUAUAUUCUGAGUACUUUGUUUUUCUAGGUACUUUAAAAAUAAACCAUUUUACUUAUCACUUCUGUUCUCUUGUAAAAUAGGUUUUUGGGUUUGUAUGGUGUGAACUGAAAUGUUUGCCUCCUUAGUUCAAGAACUGAUUGGUCUGUUUGUUUUUAUUCAGGUACUCACCACACAGGCUAAGAACAGUAGUGGACUUACUGGUGUGGAAGUUGUUAAUAAAUUAAUUCUUUGGGUAAUUUCACUCUGAGCCUGUAUCAUAUUCCUGGCAUCUCAUAUGCAAAGGCACUUUAAAAGUUGCUUCUUUUUGUAUUAUCAGAGUUCAUUUUAAAAAACAGACAGGCAAAAAAGGGAGGAAAAUUUCCACCAAGCCUCACCCACUGAUAGGCUCCUCCCAGUGAAGUACCACACUUGCUCUGUCUCUGUCUCACUCUGAGUUGAGUCUCAGCACAUCAUUUUCAUGAACGUCGGUGUGGAACACCUUGUCAUGCCAUCUGGCUGCAUCCUAAGCUCUGUGGGCCUCACUGUGGUCUGGCAGCCUGUCUAGGCAGCCUAGCCUUUUGGCAUUGGAUGGCUUCUGGUGCCAGCAGUGUAAGCAGUGCUUCCGUGACAUGCUUGAAAACCCCGUGUCCUUGCUUGAAUGCUGGCUUUCCAUACUUUGAUAAAGUUCCUUAGGAGUGUCAUGUGCUGUCUCUAGCAUAGGCUCUUCCUCUGGGUUUCUGGGUCAGUUCAAGCCGGAUGAUUUCAACAGCAGCUCUCUUCUACACUAUAAGAAACUCAAGUUUCUUUUCUCUAAAAGAAACUCAAACUGACUCACAGCUCACCAGGAUCUUUUAAAAAUGUGUGGUAUGAAGUGUAAAAACACGACAGUGAACCCACAGUACCUCCUCAGAGAAUUCUAGGUUACGGAUCCAGUCAGCAGCAGUUUUGACAGCAUGAGUCUGCUCUACACCUUUGAUUACUGUCCAGAAACUCAGUGAAAGCAAUAAUUAGGCAAUACCCAGGCUGUGACCAAGAGGGUCAGCCAGGAGUUUAAACAAAAAUAUUAGUUACACAGAUGCUGUUCCUGUAUUCACCCAGGAGCCUUUGAGCCCCCACUACAUGUUGGUGAACAAGAAGGAGAGCAGCCCUGUUCACUGUAUGUACCUCUGGGUAGGUGUGUAUGACAGACGAAGGGAAGGCUCAGUAAUAACAGUAAUUUACAUAGUGUCUUAGAAAAAGAUACGUGUUUGGGGAACCUCAUAGAAGUAUAAAAGAAAUGGGAUAUUUUAGAUAUAAGAGAGAAUAUUUUGGUCUCUCUGACAUGCUAAUGUUUGGGCCAAAACUUCCAAAAGAAGAUAGCAAAGCAAGAUGCCCCCUAUGACAGGCCAGGCAAGAUGUACUGGAGGAAGGGCCCUGAAGCAGAGGUAUACCCUAGUUCAGGACUGUGUUUGCAAGUGCAAACCUACACUGUGUUUAGCCCCGUUUUUCACUUUAUUUACCUUUUCUAACACAGUCUUUAAGUCUGUGGUGCGGGGCUAAGUCCUAGAAAAUAUAUCAUUUUCCUGCAAUGAGAAGUGCACAGUGUACCCUGCAUAUCCUUACACUUGAGAGUAAAUGAACACAGUGACUUGGUCCCAGUAGGAGCAGAAUGCUUUGAUAAACGCUAGGCCCAUGUUUAAUCUUAUUAAUGGAACUCAACUGUAUGUGAGAAGACAAAUCCAGUAGGUCAAAGAGACGCUAGAAAUCAUCCACAGGUGCACGAGGGUUAGUCUGACUUCUCACCUGAGUGGAGGACAGGCUCAGGUGAUUCAGGAGCUUGGUACCUGCCUGGUUUGAGCUGCUGUGGCAUCACCUAGAACAGGUGACAGGGUUCUCAGACUGUGGGGUCUUUUCUUCAGGUUUCUCUCAGGGCCUCAGUGUUGCUGUCCAAGGCUUAUGUGAUGAGUGCAUUUCAAAUCAUCCUCAGUUGUGAGAUAAUUUCCUCUCUCCUUUCAUUGAAGUUAUCAUUGAUCUUCUACUUGUUAAUGUGAGAUGUGCACCCACAAUUAGACACUGGAUGACUUACUGAACUUAGCGUCCUUAAAGGAAAGGGUAGUGUCAUCAUAAGAAUCAGAUGGUGGCUGGGAAAGUGUUCCUGGCUUGGAAUUCUAAUACCAGCCACAAAGUAGAGCCUGCACCAGUCAGGUGAGAGCUUUCAGAUCUGCUCACGUGUGAUUAUUGACUCAACACAGCUUCAUACCAAGGUGCACUCUAUCAUACUUUUCCAUUGUUUUAAAUUAACAAAAUUUCAUUUGUAAAAAUAUCAUUUGUAAAAAUAAUUUCGUCCUCUCUAAAAAUAUGUAUAAGACAUUGAGCUGUCUUCCGGAGAGCAUUUAUUGAAGCUGGACUUUGCCUGUUUAGAAGGUUAAGAAGGUCUGAGCAGAUGUUGUUGACAUGUCCAGUAAGAACAGUCCAGCAUGUGCUAGGCACAAUUUCAGAAUGACUGAAUGCAGAGGAAAGGUGUGUAUUUUAGAAACAUGAUGGAAGCUAUCAUCUUCCCAGGACUUUCCAGAUAGUCUUGGUUUACCAUCAGUUUUCACACUCAUUAAUUUUCUUCCUCAUUAAUGAAAAUCUAUCUUAAAUUUGUUACAACCUUAAAAAUUAAAAUACCUGUCUCAAAUUUUAAGCUUAGUAGGCCUGAGCAAUUUUUCCUCUACAAAUGUGUGUGAAGUGUGCAUGGUGUGUGUGGGGGUGGUGCUACAGCAUUCAGGUGGGGGUCAGAGGACAGCUUUGGAGUCAGAGUUGAUAGCGAGCGCUGUUACCUGCUAAGUUAAGUCACCAGCCCAGUUUUAAAAUACAGCAUUUCUAAAAGAGUGCUGAAGCAAGCUGCAGAAUCAGUAUCAGCCUCUGUCCCCAUGGGUACACAGGCUGCUGGACAGAGACAGGACAUAGAGGUCUGUUGGAAGGAGUGUCGGAAAUUAAGCUUUGGCAGAGAGUAGACUAAAAAUGCAUUGGGUAUAUACUUCAGAUGGCAGACUCUGGACUUUUGGGCAGUGAAUAAUUCUAGUAACAAAGGAAAAUGGGCAUCGCAGAUGGGCUUGUGCCUUUUUGUUUCUUGUUGGCAGUUUCCCUAUUGAGCUCUGGCAAGUCCAGAACUCACUAUUUAGACCAAGCUAGACUCAGAUUUGUGGUGAUCCACCUGCUUCUGACUUCUAAGAACUGGGAUUAUAAGAAUUACCACCACACCCGACUGAUGCUAUGUUGUUUGUUGUGAGAUUUAAUUAAGCUCAUUUUUUUUUACCUUCCUGUCAGUAAAAGUGGGUUAUUUCUAAUAACUAAGGCCAAUAAGAGAUUAGAGUAACCAAUCAUAUUCUUACUACGUUGGGUUUUAAGUGUAGAACAGGAUCCUAAUAGUUUUUAUGUGAAAAUUAUUAAAGUAUUAUAUAAUUUUCUCACACCUUCUAAAAUGAUAGUUUGGGAAAAGGCAAACAUAGAUUACUCAUUUAUCUUUUUUCUUACUUGGCCAAUCCCCUAAUUUGGAAGUUAUGCAGCAGUCACAUAAGUGUGAAUAUGUUAACCUGCCAGCUGACAGUUCUACCCCAGUGUUCAGUGUCCAGUAAAAAAGAACUGAUUGGCUUUCCCUGCUCUUCCCACCAUGUAGGAUGCUAACAAGGCUCUUUCUGAAACCACUGUGAAGUUCAUGAGAACCCAGUAGUAAGCACCACACUGUCAGUCUCUGCAGUAUGCAGCAAGGAAUAUAAAAUACUUGUACAAGAGCAUAGGCUAUGACCCAUUCUUUAGAGAGCCGGCUAGUGCAACAAGUCCUAGAAGCCUGAGAGCUCUGGAAAUGGUGCUGAGCGAUUGCAGCUACCUACUUGUCAUGGAACUUGCAUUCCAUUGUUUGGAAUGCUAGUUUUGAUCACCGGCCAUCUCAUCUGCUUCCAAGUAUGACCUCUUUGGCUCCCAUGUAAAAAAGUUAAUCUAGCUGAAAGGAUUUAUUACAUUUAAUAUAUUGUGAAAAAACUCUAUUUUAAUUGAUUUUUCCCCCUCAGUUACUCUGUAUGGAGAAUUUUGACCUUUUAAGGUUCGAUUUUGUGAUUAAGAGGGAGUGGACAUCAGGUAGAGAAUAUGGCUGUAAUAGCGCACACGCUCACUGCUUUCCAUACUUUUUUAAUUGCUUUCUUAGAGACAGAAAUUAAAGCCAGAUCACUGACUUAUGACUGAAUGACCUGGGGCAAGCCCUAUUUUUUUCAGGGAAGUAGAAAUACUAAUAAUAUUUGCCUUAUAGGGUUAUUGGGGAACUCUUUAGAGAUAAGGAUCAAGCAAGAGUUAAUAGCUAGUACUUAGCAUAAAGCUCACACCCAGUUAGCAAAGCCCUUCAGAAACAAUGGCUGUAAACCAGCUUAGAGGAGUGGGUUUAAGGCAGUCUUAGGAGGUGUGGUGUUUGUUUAACCAUCAUUUCAGAUUUAUAACAGCAGCUAUGCCAGCUAUGAUAGAUCUCUUUUAUUGGCUUAGGUGGAGUCCUAAGACAUCAUGUCAUUAGUGUUUAACAGUAAUAAAAAGGGAACUGAAUUGUCAUUCUGGAAGAGGGGUUCAGCACCAUGCCUAUACUUCCUAGUAUGAGGCUGUGCCUUUGUGGAGGAAGCUGGCUGAGGCUUCACAGUCAGUCCUGCCACUCCCUGUACAAAAAGGACCUCUAUACAAUGCCUGCUGUCCCGCUCCAUGGGACGAGACCAGAUAUUUCUUCCUUAGGAUCCCAAAGACCCCAACCUAUCUGCGAACCCCUCAUGUCAGUUUCCUUAAUGUCAGGGGCAAUUAAAAAAAAGCCAUAGUUACUGUUUUACGGCUAUUGGUAGGCAUACAGGGCAGAUGUUUGGUUUAUAUUUCUAGCCACACCACUUGAAGUUUUAACUACAUGACACAUUGAUCCUCGUCAGGUGGCAGAAGAUCACACAGCUGGUGUGUGGUUAGCUGGGUUUUCAGAAAUACGGCUGCAUAUUGAGCACUGCUCAGUGUGUGGGCCUCUGUGUUUCCUCUCUUCUGUCCUCUGAAGAAUGGCAAUAAUGAGCUGAAGUGAGACAACGGGCCCCAACUUUGCUGUGUUUGAUGACUCCCAUCAGCCUGUGCACCCAGUAAGGCCUUCCUGUUAAACCAACUCUCUUGAGAGGUUUUAUCAUAUGAAAGAUUGAGGGGUGCCUUUCAGCAUGUGGUUUCUCCGACUCUCUUGAUUCUGGGGAAACAGGCUGGUUUAUGAGUACAGUUUCUAAAGCUCUUUCUUUGUAUCAUACUUGACUCUGAUCUGUAAGAGUAGACAUUUUCCCAGGUAUUUGUCCAUUCCCAAGCUUCUUGAAGGAAGCAAACCCAGGAAGUAGUUAGCAGAUGAGUCAACUUGAACUUGCUUGUAGUACCCACCCAGACUCUCAGCCUAAGAGUCUGUCUGCCUAGAUGGUGGCUUCUGCCAAAGGUCUGUAGGGGCAGUGGACCCCACUAUGGCUGUGCCCAGUAAAGAGUUAGGAUAUAUUUAUGUGUACCAUUUUUUCUAGACUCUGAAGGUGUGGGUUAGCAUAACUGAUUGCUUUUUGACUGAAGAGGUUGUGCUGUGCAGAAGAUGUCAUUUCUGGCAACAUCUAAUUGGGUGCAGAUCAUUUGCGUCUCUAAUAAUAUGAAGAAGUUACUUAUGGAGCACAGCAAAGCCAUCCAUCUCUCCUUUGCAGCAGGGAACAGUUUGCUCCAGCUCCAACAGAGAAUUUAGGUUCUAGUCACUUCACUGGUUCAGAUAAUCAUAUGGAACCAACUGUCUCACCCUCCCUGCAUCUCCCAUGGUGGUUCCCAUUUUCUAAUAAGGUCAUUUUAAAGUUUAGACAUAUUGAUUAGCACUCCCACCGUAAAUAUCUGAAGUAUAAAUUGUGUUCAAGGGAGUUCUAAGGAUGCAUUUCCCAGAGACUUUAAUAACAGCAGUUGAAAUUGACAGUCCCUUUUGUUUGCCUCAAAAAAUUAAUUAUUUAUUUUUAUUGUACAGGCAUGUUGCCUCGCAUGUAUGUAUGUUCAUCAAAUGUAUGCAGUACCCAAGGAGGCCAGAAGAGGUCAUUCCCUGAAUCAGAUCCCCUGGAACAGAAGUUUCAGAGUAUUUUGAAGCCCCUAUGUCGUUGCUGGGAAUUAAGCUUGUACCUUUUGGAAGAGAAGCCACUGCUGUUAACCACAGAGAUAUCUCUCCUGCUCAGUCUCUUUCUUGUACACAUCUGGCACCUAAUUUUAUCCUUACACUUCUAGACUAGAGGGCUAAAGAGGCAUAUGUAGAGAUGGGGUAGGGGCUAGGAGAAGAUGGAAGUGAGAAUGUCACAAAAUCUGAGCUGUUGUCUCUUACCCACAACAGCAGCAGGCGGUAGAUUCCAGAGAAGGAAGUAGACCAUGGAAGAAAGACUCAUUUUCUUUUUCACUCUGGUUGUUAUCUGAGGCCUGUCAGAGACUAAAAGCUGUGUGAAGUGUACAAAUCAUUUCUUCUUCUUCUUACCCUGUGCUCUCCUCUCAGUCUCUACCUAUCCUUACUCCAAGGAUCCUAAAAUGCUCUUGAAACAAAAAUGCCUGCCAACAAAUUCAGGUCUACACUCUCAUUUCAGUCAGCAACUUACCAGUUCUAUUUCAGCAUCGCUUUCAUUUGGAUGGUUUUUAACUCCUAGGGGCACUAAAAAUAAAUAUAAAAUAAAUAUGCAUUUCUGUUAUUAGCCCUAUUAGGGAAUACAUAAUAUUAUUUUCCUUAGGUUAAGGCCAAUCUUCAAAAAGGAUAAUAAAUAUAAUAAGGUUUCUUUUCUUCAGGAGCACAUCCACCCCGGAGCUAUCAGCUGCUAUCCCUUGUCUAUGAAAACAGGUAGAUAGUUUAUACUGAAGUUGUUCCUGUCCUUUAACUGGCUGGCCUAAGUGGGGCUUGCAACAUUCUCAAGAUUAAACUGAUGGGAAGAGGACAAGCCCUGCUCUGUUGUCCUUUCAGAUCCUCAUCCCCUGGGGCAGAUUCUGGCCCCUCCCUCCAGUGUCUUUAUGAGAAUGUCCUCAUGACCUGGGCUUUCCAGAUCUUCCUUCCGCAGACUCCACCUUACCCUUCCUGUUCUUUCAUUGUCCAUGCUUGUCCCUAAGAGAAGGCACUGCUAGUGUGCCAAGCUUCCAGGUAGAGUAUCAGUUUGUCUUAUUCAGAAAGUCCCACUCACGCAAAUCUGCACAUUGUGUCUCUACAGAGGUGGGUUGUGCUUAAAAUAGUCUAAAACCAAAGCAGUCUUUUAAAAAAUGUUUCUCUACAUUUUAGGCUUAUUUUUAUACACAUGUGUUUUGCCAUCAUGGAUGUAUGUGUACCACAUGAGUGCUUAAUGCUGUAGAGGUCAGAAGGAGGUGUUAGAUCUCUUAGAACUGAGUAACAGAUGGGUGUAAGCCACCAUGUGGGUGUUGGGACUCAAACCCCUCUGCACGAGUAACAAGUGCUCUAAAGCCCUGAGCCAUCUUUCCAGCCCCCUUAAUGAUCUUUUUGAGUGUGAUCUUAGCCUUCGUCUCUCGUUCUCUGGGCUUUGGUGUGGUAUUCCUAUUUGUGGAACAGUAGAUAAUUAGAUAAUCUCUCUGUCAAUCAAACACAUUUGUGUUCAAGAACUAAAUGUGUCAAAGUAUAUUAAAAUGUGCUUUUGUUCUAUACCUCUUAAUAAAUUGUGUGUUUGCAUUAUGAGUUUCCUAAAUGAAGAUCAGUGUUCCAUGGUAGAGCUGUGUCAUAUGCACAUUUAGCAUAUGACGGAUUCCAUUUAUACACAUGAUGUUCCCUCCAGAGCUAAGCCUUGGCUUGUGUUCUUCCAGUGAAGGGAAGCUGCAGCUGAAACACUGACGCGAAACAAACGGAACACUUACUUUUGGCUCUUACCUUCUCAGAACUUAGAUCCUAGUAGUUCAAUGGUGAUUUGACAGUGAUUUUAGGAAUUUUUAUAGAUAAUGUUGACCAUAUGUAAUUUCUGAGUACUGAAUUUAGAGACAUACCGUGGUCUGUUUACUUUCUGUGUUCUGAAGCCAGAAUUACUCAGCUAGGUGCUGGGUGAGUGCUUUAGAAGUAUUAAUCUGAGGUAGAGUAGGACGUUACCAGUUUCAGAGAGAUAGUUGCUACUCAGGAAGUCUCUGUGAACACUUAUGCUACCUACUAUUUGAUUUGAAUAAAUUACUAAAACUCGUUCCUUAUUAGUCCUGGAAUAAAAUGAAGUACUAAGCUCAAUGUGCAUGAGAUCAUUCGGGGCAUAGGCAGUGUUUUGUCCACAGUUCCAGUUGCUCUUGCAUAUGGCCAUUUAUGGCCAUGCACAUACACCCUGGGGAAAGCUCAGCACUGCUUAGGUUGGAAACAAACGAGAAGGAAAGCACCAACCUAAACUCAGGUUAUCCUACAGAGGAUCUUCUCUCUACAGCAGUCGAUCUCAUACCUUAAAGAACCAUGAGUUUUAUAUUUGGCCACAGUAGUAACGUGCCUGCAUAGACGACAUCAAGGCAAGUAAAUGCUAACUGUGAACAACUGACAUGUUCUCCUCUGGAUAGAUACUGGAGUUAAACUUCAGAGUGCAGCACCCUGCGUUCAUAGAGAAUGGAUGAGAGGGCUGGAGAGAUGGCUCAGCCGUUAAAGGCUAGGCUCACAACCAAAAAUAUAAGAGAAUGGAAGAGAAGCCUCAUUUGAAUACCUUGCCUGUGAAGAUAAGAAAAGGCUAUUGAAGACCCCUCUGAGGUUUCAUCAUAAAAUAUUAUAACCCCAUCCCCAACAAAACAAAACAAAUCCCAUUUGUAAUCUUCAGAAUGAGAGAAGAAUUUUUUUUUAAAAAACUGCUUUAAAAAUGGCUUUUUUAAAAAUGACAUUCGUUUAGUCUCUCUCUCUCUCUCUCUCUCUCUCUCUCUCUCUCUCUCUCUGUGUGUGUGUGUGUGUGUGUGUGUGUGUGUGUGUGUGUGUGUAUCAUGGUACACAUGCAGAAUACAGUUGGUUUUCUCCUUCCACUAUAUGGGUUCUGGGAAUGGAGGCUUGAAAAUGUCUUUACCUUCUGAGCUCUAUCACCACCCCACACCCCAAAUCCCAAAUGGCAUUUCCAAACUCCACCCUUAACCACCAUAGAGAUGAUUAUGUUCAUCCCUUGUACACAAGUAGAAUUCGUAUUGAAUAUCCUCUAUCUGAAAUGCUUGGAGACCAGAAGUGUUUUGGAUCCCCCCACCCCCCACAGAUUCUGAAAUGUUUGCAUAUACAUGAGUUAUACUGGGGAUGAGGCCCAAGUCUAAGUGGAAAUUCAUUUAUGUUUGCCUAUAUCUUAUACAUACACUCUGAAGACACUUAAAUUUAAGAAUUAUUUUUUUCUCAUGAAGUGAAGUUUCAUGUUGUGGUAUUUCCCACUGUGAUGCUCAUUCGCGGUGGAAGUUUCCGUGUGUUGAGCAUUUCAGAUAUAAAGGUUUUGGAUUUUGAAUGCACAACUUGUGUUGAUAGUGAAUAAUAGUUCUGAGUUCUUAAGAGCUUGGUAAAGACCAUAAUAUCAUUUAGGACUGCCUUAAGAAAACAAUAUUAGAAAAAGCUGGAAUUCUUUAUUUGGUUCUUUAGAUAUUCCCUAAACUUACAGCAUAUAUUGUAGGCAGAGCCACAACCAAAAAUGAAAAUGGUUUUUACAUAGUUUGUUGAAGAAGUAAUGUGCUGUCAAUAAAGGUCCUCAUAUCCCUGUACAGAAGGAGGUAUUAAGACAAGUGGUCCUGCUAUGUGCCUACACAUACCAUCAAUGAGUGAGCAUCUCUACCACAGUGUCCAUUGUCUGUGGCAUUAUUCUCCUGUCCAUUCUCAUCUGAUUUUGGAGUCUGUGAUUAGACUCGUUUUAUCUCUUCUUGGAUUCCAUAGGAAUGGAAUUUUACUAUAUCGAUCACUUAUGUUAAUAUACUACAUUAACAUCAUUCUCCAGGGUUUCUAUGCAUGCUCACAUGUGUCAGUGGGGUCCCUCCACCCCAACACACAUUGUUUUGGUUGUCUCUUAGUUUCCUGUUUAGGGUAAACCACAGCUUACCCAUUCAGCUUUUGGUAGGCAUUUGAAUUAAUGUUUUUAAUUGGUGUAUAUUAAUUCUAUAAAACAGUGUUUCAUUACAACGUAUUUAUUGUAGUUUUGACAGUGUUUCAUUCCAGGGGAGCAUUCCCUGGGUACAAGUAUGCUAUACUUGGAAGAGACAUAGAACUCAUCUCUGACCUCACAUAUAGGAAGCAAAUGUGUUUGUCAGUCUUGCACAAUUUGAUUAUUUGCAAAGGAAAGUAUGCAAAUCAACUCUAGUAACUGAUUAAACUCAAUUGAACUGUCCAGACUCUGCCCUAAAAACUCAUAAUAGCAAAUACUUUGACUCGUUGAAAAGAACUGCAUCAAGGAAAUAUACUCUCUAGUUCUUCUACUUAACUUUUAAUUACAGGUGGUGAUUCAGAGGCCUCAAACAAACUAGGAAACGGCCAAAUUAAGGUGUAUUUCUGUAGGUGAUAUUCUGGUUUGGAUUUUUUUUCGAGAAUCACUUGAGCACAACUAUAAAUGUUUGCUAGGGCAGUGAUGUUCUUGAAUAGUAUCUAAAGGAGUUAGAGAAGUGGCUCAUUCAGUCAGAGGUUUUUUGCACAAGCAUGAGUGCCUGAGUUUAGAUCCCAGCACCUAUGGUAGCUGAGCCUGAUGACACACUCAUAGCCCUAGUGUUAAGGCUAGAGACAGUAGGAUCCUGUAUCUCACUGGCUAGACAGGUCAGCUAAUAAGUGACUGCCUUUCUCUCUCUCCUGCCUCAGAGGAAAAAUAAUGAUGGAGAGCAACAGAGGAAGACAUCUGGUAUUGACUUUGGCUUCUGCAUGUAUGCGUACACACGUGCACAGUUUGCAUGCACACACAUGUAAAAUAGAGUAUACUAAGCCUUAAUUUUUGCCUUCAUUUUUGCACUUAUAUUUAGCAAAUAUGGUGGUUUACCAGUUGACUAAAUUAUCUGAAGAAAGAGUAAUACAAAAUUCUCUGUAAGCUGACCACACUUUGUGGGAAUUUUAUCUAUCUCUAAAAUGUUGAAAUAAACCCAGGAAACUUUGGCUUAUUAGUUCUAUCCUUUGUCCUUCGAUGUUAUCUUCUUAGGGUUCAGGGAUUGGGACUGGCAUUUUCUACUGUGAACAAAAAUGGCUUCACAGUGAAGAGUAGGAAACAUUCUUUUCUGAAUUCAUUUAAUCAGGUUUGUCCUACAAAGUAUGUAACUAAAUUUCCUCUCUAGAAUAAGUUUAUAUUUUAGACAAAAUGUUGGCCAUAUUAAUUUCAACUUCUUCCUAAGCUUUUACCCAUUUUCACCUCAACAUAAUGAUGCUUUAAUUUAUAUUUUAAGAACUACUCGAUCUCUAUGUUUGUAUUAUUUAAAUGUAUUACUGUAUACAAGUAUGAAAUCACUGCUGGCUGCAUUGUUUUAUCAAUUAGGAUUGGAAAAUACAACUUAUAGUUUUGUUUAUUUACUUAGCCAUAGUUAUUAGUACAAAAUGCUGAAAUAUAACAAGCAGCCAUUUCCACGUUGGCUGAAAUUAUCCGACUUUACUUGUGUUUUUAUUUAUUUCACUGAAAUAAUUUUAUCACCUUAAUGGUAAAUAAUUAGUAUGGGGCAGAAUUCAUCAACUAUGAUUCCUAUCUGAUUGCCUGGAAUAUAAGAAUCAAAUAUAGGUGUGUCUGUAUUGAACCUCAUGUAAACUUCUGAGAUUGCAAGUUUUACAGGUUGGAUCAGUUCCUUAGUCCCUUGUAUUCUUCAUCUUCCAAUUUGAUCGUAUCAAAGAUAUAUAGCUCUGUGUGUGUGUUGGUGUGUCUGGGUGUCUAUAUGUUCUUAUUCUCUUAACAAUUUAUGUAGCAUUUAAAUAUUAUUUUGUGUUACAGUUCAUAAGAAGGUGAUUUAAGCACACAAGAGGAUGAAUAUAGGUUUUAUGCAAAAAAUGUUUAAAGAGUUAAACAUUUAGGAAGUUUGGUAAUUAAAGAGGGAGGAGUCCUAGAAUCAAUGCCUCCUAGAUGUGGGGGGAAGAUUGCACACUCUCUCAAAUCAGUAGGCUCUCCAGAACUGUGUGUUUUCAUCACUGUGCUAUCCUUAGCACCUGAAAUGCUACCUGGCGCAGAGUAGGUUUCAUUAAAUCGCCCUUGCCCAACCCUGUGUUACCUUUUUGAACCACUCUGAUUCCUGAUUACUUUAGAUUCAUAGAGCAUAAGACAUGGUGUGAUUGCUGAAGAUGAUCUGAUUCCCUCUUAAUAGAUGAGAAAGAGCUGGGAGCCGAGAGGGAAGUGACUUGUUUAAGAACCAAAGCACGACUCUAGAUAUGCCUGUAGUCCACUCACUCAGCCAUCUUUAACAGUUCAUGUGUGAUGUGGUUGGUCAGGCUACUUUCAACAUGUCUAGUUUUGGCUUCUUGGUACUUAAAACAUCUCACUCAGUGGGUUGUCCUAAAAUGAAUGACAUGUGGAUAGAAAGUUCUUGAAAGUUCACACUGUGGGUCAUAUGCUAAAAUCCUUUCUAAGUUCAAUAUAUUUCAAAAACAUAUUGAUAAGGAUGAGAGAAAUGGUCUUUUUUUUUUUUUUAGCAUAGAUUAUGAACAGCUUCUUGGAAGGACAUUUUUACAAGUAAUGUAGUGCAUGUUGUUAUUCUGAUCUGUCCUACUGACCUGGCUGUGUGAGGGUCUUCUCCACUCUUAGUCCCUGUUGUAACUCUUGAGUAGCAGCCCCAGCAGCUUUUGAGGUAGGGAAGGAGUGGAAUAGCAGUUAAAAGAAGUGCAUUACCAGAUUGCUGACAAUGUGGAGGUGUUUAUAUAAAUUUAGCUCUGUUUGUAUCUUUGGAUAAAAAGGAGUUUUCUCUUACUAGGUGAACAAACUGAGUAAUAAGGUGGCAGUGUGAGGUGUGGUGUUGGGGAUGAUAUAUAUGUGGUUCUGAGUUCCAGCUAGGGAACUCAGCACUCAUAAUGCCUCCCAGUAUUGGAGUGUAUGUGCAAAAGGCCUAUUUAUAAAGAUAUUCACACAGAGGAACCAGCAAGAUGAUUUGGCCAGGUGAUAGCAACAGAUUCUGCUGUCUCCCCUAUUCUUCUAAAGGAACUAAUAGUAGAGCUGGAAAAGAUGUAGUCUCUCUUGCUGCUAUGAAUGGAGUAACCACAACCACAGGACCUCUGAUAGUCACAAGUCUGAACUGUGUCAGACAGUCCAGUCUACAGGUUCAACAUUACUCUGCUGGUUGUGCAGGAAAAUCAGGUUUAUACCUAAGUUUUGAUCCCUUUCUUUGUGUUCACAGGUGAAAUAGGGGUCAAGGUCCUUACCCUGUACCACUCCAGUCUGGUUUGCCUCACUUUUCAGCUAACAACCUCCAUGUUCACAUUAGAGUCACCCAGCUGACCCAGGAUCAUCUCCCAGUUUUAAAACCUAACUUCCCUUGCCAUAUAAAGUAACAGUUUCACAGGCGUUGUGAACUUGGAUAUCUCUGAGGAGCCAUUCUUUGCCUACCAUAGUAAGAAGUGACUAUUCUGUUGCCUUAAGCAGAGACACAGCUGUAGCUGUAGGAGCAUGUCAGCCUGAGGUGAUGUCAUGUGGAAGGAGCCAGAGAAAUACAGUCAUCUUUCCGUCUCCGAAGGGUGAAUAUUCUAAGAGUUCCAGGGACUCUAGAAACAGAGGCACUGUUGUGUGCUGCGUAGCCUGUGCUUUCCUAUGUGCCUGGUGAAUGUUGUGUCAGAGCUAACGUAGGCAGGCAGUGUUUACAGCAUCCACACAAAAGGUGAAGAGAUAGCACUCUUUCCAGCCAGGACGGGUCUGUGUUCCAUUAUGAUGCUUAGAACAGAGUACAGGUAAAACUUUCAAACUGUUUAUUUCUGUAAUGGUUUAACAUGUUGGACUAUGUUAUUAACUGUAACUGAAUCUGCAGAAAGUGAAACUGCGUGAAAGGGCAGUGUGCUAAGUGUUUGUCUCAGGCUCCUGGCUGAGCAUGACAUGCAGUGUUGAUGCUUCUUCCUUGUAGGAUAGGAGUGACUAGAGGGAGGAGAAGGGACCAGCAGGGGCAUGCUGAAGUCCUCACAUAGGAAGAGAUUGCAGCCAGUCUGUUUGGGGAUGUUUUAGUCUUCAGAGUUCUGGGAUUAUAGGUCCAUCACCAUUCUGAAUCUUAACUCCCUGAAGACCACAGAACUCAGUAAGUUUCUGAGAUCAGUGUGGUUGGGGUACGCAUAACUUAGUCCAGAGGUGGGACAAGAGAAUCAUAUUCUUGUUUGACAUUUCAGCCUGCAUCCAUUCCCCUACUGUAUUUAAUAAUGCACGUUUCAAACCUGUGUUACUUCCCUACUGCUCAUUAGCUAACUGCUUGUUCACAUGGACACCAGUGUUUCCUGAAAUUUUCUGUUGCUUCCACAUCUCUCCAGCCUGCUUGAUGGAAUUGUUUGAUGAGACCUCCAAAGUUUCUCCAGGCAGAAAAAUUAUAGCCCAGGUUCCUUGUGGGAUCUUAGUGGAACUGCCUUAGCCUCUUGCCUCAGCUUGUCCUGGCUAUAGCCCCACUAACCUGGCCUGCAGUUAACCCUGUUCUGUGCUACUGAGAAAUACUGCCUUUGUGCUAAGGAGUCUUGGUGGAAAGACUUCAUCUAUGGAAUAGGCAAGACUAGAAAGUUCACUUCCUUUGAAAAAUUGUGUAUACUUUUCUGUAAGUUAUAGAUGGUUUUAUAUUUGUUUAGUUUUUCUUUGCUCAGAAAGUUAAAUGUUUCUAAUAAUACAUUUCUUUAGUAAAUCCAGAACAGAAAGUUAAAUUUUGUUUGCUCACAAAUGCUGUGCUGAGGCCAGUAAAAGCUUUUCCUCUUAAAAAGCCUCAAUUACUUGCAAAGCGGGUUUCUAGGAUUAUUCUUCUAUGGCUGGUGCUUGCUGAAAGGAAUAUUUAAAACUAAGCUUCCAUUGAAUAAGGACUGUUGCACAGAUUAUCCACAUACAAACAGACACUGAAUGAAGUUGAUUUUUGUGGAGCUGAGGGUCUUCUACAUUUGCAUCUGUGCUUAGCAGGCCUUACAGUCUGCAUCCUCAUAUCUAAAAGUCACCACUGUUUCUUUUUUCAAAGCAAAGAUUCACAUAAAUGGGGGUGAAUUAUUUAAAUCAUGGUUGUGGGAUUUUAGUAAGCUUGACAGGCAUCUGUUGUGGCCAAACAGAUACAUGUGUCAAAAUAUGGUAUUGGUUUAAUGAAGUUAAUCAAUAUAUUAAUAUAGCAUUCUACCUUCUAUGAGAAAACCAUAAUGAAGACAUUUUAAAAUUUUUUUCUCUUUUAUUUUGUGUAUUUACAUUUCAAAUGUUAUCCCCUUUCCCGGUUUCUCCUCUGGAACCCUCCUAUCCUUCUCCCUCCCCCUGCAACUGUGAGUGUACCCCCUCCCACCCACCCACUUCCAUCUCAUUGCCCUGGCCUUCCCCUACACGGAGGAAUUGAGCCUUCAUAGGACCAAGGGCCUUUCAUUGAUGCCAGACAGUGCCAUCCUCUGCUACAUAUGUGGCUGGAGCCAUGGGUCCCUCCAUGUAUACUAUUUGGUUGGUGGUUUAGUCCCUGGGAGCUUUGGGAGGUCUGGUUGGUUGAUAUUGCUGUUUUACCUAUGGGAUUGCAAACCCCUUCAGCUCCUUCAAUCUUUUCUCUAACUCCUCCAUUGGGGUCCCUGUGCUCAGUCCAAUGGUUGGCUGCCUCGGCCUUUGUCAGGCUCUGGCAGAGCCUCUCAGGAGACAGCUAGAACAGGCUCUUGUCAGCAAGCAUUUCUUGGCAUCAGUAAUAGUGACUGGGUUUGGUGUCUGUAUAUGGGUUGGAUCCCCAGGUGGGGCAUCUCUGGGUGGUCUUUCCUUCACUCUCUGCUCCACACUUUGUCCAUAUUUAUUUCUCCAUUAAAAAUUUGGUGAUGAGUGGGUGUCCCCAUCCUCCAACCAAGGGCCUUGCCUAACCUCUGGAUGUUCUCUACAGGUUGUCCCUCCCCUUUGUUGGGCAUUUCAGCUAAUCUUAUCCCUGUUGGGUCCUGGGAGCCUCUUGCUUUCCUGGCAUCUGGGACUUGCUGGUGGCUACCUCCAGUCCCCCCCGCCCCCCAAUUUGCUACACAGUUCUGUUCAAAUUCUUGACCCUCUAUAUAUCAUCCCAGUCUCCUUCCAUACCUGAUCCUGCCCCCCUUUCUCCCCCUCUCCCUCCUCUCUUCCUCCCAAGUCCCUCCCAUCCUCUACCUCCCCUGAGUAUUUUGCUCCCCCUUCUAAGAAGGACUGAGGCAUCUACGUUUUGAACUUCCUUCUUGAGCUUCAUAUGCUCUGGUAAAACACACUGUAGGUGUGCAUAUUCACUAGCUUUGAACUUCCAAGUUUUAUUGUUUUAUCAGCAAUGUGUAUGAUCAUGCUGUAAUGGCAAGGCAGGGACCUCGUGCUCAAAUGGACAUUUUAGUGGCUUCAGGCAUGUUAGUAUGGGGCACCAUUUUUGAUCAGAAACUCUGCUCCAAAUUUUUUGAGAUAGGACUCUGUUACUAUGUUAGUUGUGUAGGAAAAAUGAAAAAAUAAGUCUCAGAUGUGGUGACAUAUACCUGGUUGCUGGCACAUAAUUACAGAGAAGGAAAGACAGUGGCAGAAAUAGAGAAACAAGGAGAAGGCCAAGUGCAGAGUUUGUUGCAAUGAGAUGCAUCCAGAAAAGGCUCAGAAGGUUUGAGGAGGAGGUAGGUUAGAGGAUCAGGAGACUCUGUAUUCAGUAUCAGUUGCACCUCAGAGCAGCCGUGGUGUUCAAAAAGAGACAUUGUCCUGGGAGAUGAUUGCAAAAAGGUGCUCACAAAAGGAGAACAGGCAGCCACCACGGGGAAGGAGAAACAGAGUUAGUGGGGCUGGGGGAGGACCAGGAAGGACUCCUGAAGAAGGAAGUGACUCAUGUGUCAGGUAUGGCAGGAGGCGAAGACUCAGAAAGUGCCCCGGAGGAGGACCUGCGGCCACCCAAGAGCUGUCUCAGCAGUUUACCCAGAGAAGGUUGGUGGAGAGCAUGAUGAGGUUAAGGAAAGUUGCCUCCAAUCCUAGCAAAAGGAGGGAAGUGAUAGUCACCAAAAUGGCUCUGGGAAACUUCUUUAACUCUCUUUCUACUCUGUAUGUAGAGUAAUGGUCCCCAGUAUCAUCCUGUUGUGUAUUGCAUGUAUCUCUGGGCUAUAUGGUCCUGAGUUUGUUUCUGGGUUGAGAAUCCCAGUAUUGAAAGGUUAAACCAUCCACACCUCUGCUUGCUCAGGAAGUUCAGCCCCCUGCUUGAGCCAGAGGUGAAAACUGUCCUCCUAGCUAUGAGGUCAGUCCCCAUACACAUACCUCCCAGCUCCUGCCUACAGGGGCUCCUGAAUACAGAGCUCAGCCACUAAGCUUCCAGAAGGGUGAAUUGAAAGCAGGUUUGUAAUGAAAAUGCAAUAACUUUCUUACUCGGUACUUUUUCCCAUUCACGGGCUUUUUGUAAAUCAGGCUCUGGGACAAACAGAGCUGACAGCUGUUUUUAAAAGCUUUGGAGUAAUUUGUAAGGAAAUAAAAAGAAACCUAGCUCUGUGGAAAAAUGUAACCACAUUUCAAAACUUGGGUUAAAAACCUUUAUCAUCAUUUCAGCAUGCUUGACCUGUAAAUUGUUUUUUUUUUUUCCAUUAAACUAAACAGAAGGCAAGAAAGUGACUUUUUAGGAGUAUAAAGGACUUUCUUGCUUGUUAUUAACAUUCAGGGCAGAAAUUUAGGCAGCAGCCCUCUGCGUUCUCUCUCAGGUUUCUCCCAUUCCCCCCCCCCCCCUUCCUGUUCUUUUAGACUGGCCUACAGUCUAGCUGGUGUGCCUCAUCCGGAUCCAUGCAGGCUGCAGUGAUCUAGGUGAGAAUUGCAACACUCUAGGUUUUAACUGCAUAUUACCAACUUUACAAAGCCAAACUGCAGAUGCCUGUUGAAAGUGACUGAAUUUUUCAGCACAGAAUUCCAUGUUUGGUAAGAAGAGGACCCGAGAUCGCAGGAUGUCGAUGUCACAGUCACGAAAACUGUCCAGUGAAUGUCAUGUUUGGGUUUUUUGAUGACUUGAGUUCUAAUGAGCCUGGACAGCCCUCUCUCUCUUGCCCAGCAUACAUUGCUAGCCCUAACAGCUUUCCUGCAGUGUUAGAGAUGGUGGUAGGCAUAGCCAAGCAGGUCAGCUCUGGCUUUUCAUCAGAAGGAGGCAAGGGUGCAGCUGUGGGGAUUUGGAAGCGAUAAGGGGGUCAGUCAGUACUGACACCUCCAAUUCUGCAGACUGUUUUCACUCUUCACAAAGAAAGCUGCCUUUCAGCUUCAAAGAAAUACUUAAAAGAAUUGCUGGAAUGAGACUGUGUUUAAAUAGUUGUGUUUGUCUUAUGUUAUUGAUCUUGCAAGGUUAAACAAUUAAAAGGAAACCAAAGGCUUCAUGAAUGUUCAGUGUGACUAGUUCUCAGAAACUACCUAGGUUAUAUUUCACAAAGGAAACUUUAAAGUAAUUACAUUACACUGUAUCCUUAAAUUUGGAAGCUAUUCAUUUCCUAUCUUUUCUCUUGUCAUGUCCAAAGAGAUUUGUGUUUCUGAAGUCUGGGGAAAAACAAAAUGAAAUCUAGAGUGAGGUGUGACAUCUUUAAGUGGGUCUGACUAGAAAGUGUUCUUAGGGGGCUGGGGAUUUAGCUCAGUGGUAGAGCGCUUACCUAGGAAGCGCAAGGCCCUAGGUUCGGUCCCCAGCUCCGAAAAAAAGAACCAAAAAAAAAAAAAGAAA